ACCCAAAAACUUUCAAGUGAGAAUAAGAAACAUCUUUUCCUAUCCACAAUUUUUCUGGAAUUUCAAAAUCCAAAGGAGCUGAUGGAGACCAAUUGAUUAGGUAGCGCGCUGUUCGAACUGCUUCACCCCAAAAUGACUUAGGUAACCCAGCCAUCCUUCACAUACUUCUGACCUUUUCUACAAUUGUACGGUUCAUUCUCUCCGCCACACCGUUGUGCUGUGGAGUACCAGGAACUGUCUUUUUCAUGUCUAAUACCGUGUUUUGAGCAGUAAUUUUUAAAUAUUUUAGAUGUAUAUUCCCCUCCGUUGUUAGUUCGGAGACACUUCAAAAGAUUUCCACUUUCCGUUCCACUAUGGCAUGGAAUUUCUUAAAGUACUAAAAAACCUGGUCUUUUGAUCUCAAAAAGAAUACGCACAACUUUCGUGAACUAUCAUCAAUAAAAGUAAGAAAAUACUUAUUACCACCUAAGGACUCCACCUUAAUGGGACCAUAAACAUCAGAAUAAAUCAAAUCUAAAAUAUUAGAUUUUCUACUAGCGUAUUUCUAAAAGGAUACUCUAUGCUAUUUACCAAAUAAAUAAUAAUCACAAGAAUUUAAUGAUGUACCUUUGGUAAAAAUAAUGAGAGACUUCUUUGCCAAAAUCUAUAAUCCUUUCUCGCUCAUGUGAGCCAACCGCUUAUACCACAAGUCUAGUAAAGAAUCACUUUCAGUUGGAUUUACUGAUUCACUACACACCUUUACUUGUAUCUUGUAAAGUGUGCAACAAACCUUUCCUCUAGUAAAUAUCAUUGAUCCUUUUUUUAGUUUCCAUCUUCCAUUGCCAAAAUAACUGUCAUACCGUGCUUCAUCAAAUGCAUGUGUAGAUAGCAAAUUCAAGCGCAUGUCAGGAACAUGUCGCACAUUCUUCAAUGUCAAGCUACUUCCAAUAUCUGUUUGAAGACAGAUGUCACCAAUUCCCACAAUACUAGCAAAACUGUUAUUACCCAUCUUCACUCUGCCAAAGUUACCUGAUUUGUAUAAAGUGAAGAACUUCCGUCUUGGAGUAACAUUGUAAGAAGCCGCUGAGUCAAUAACCCAUUCAACAAAUGAAUCUGAAACAUGACAACACUGCUCAUCUUUAGCGAAAAAUACUGCUACCACUGCUUCUUCUUCUGAAGCGCUAGCUGCUGUAUUCUGAUCAGUCUUUCUUCGAAUUUUUCUCCUCUUUCAAUUUAUUUUUCCAAGCCAUGUAAUGUUUCUUUAUAUGACCCUCUUUGUCAUAAUAAAAGCAUUUGGCCUUUCCUCUUGUCUUUGACUGACUUCAGAAAUUACCACGUCCCUUAGGACCUCUGCUUUUACUCCUACCCUUGUUCUCUGUAAUAAGAGCUUGUGCAUCAUUCCUACCCAAGUAUUUUCUUCUUAUUUCUUUAUUAAACAAAAUAUCUUUAACUAGAGUAAGUUCGAGCACACCUUCGGAGCGGAGUUACUAAGUGAUACCACAAAAGUCUCCUAACUAUCAGGCAAUGAACUCAGAAGUAAUAGAGCUUGCAUCUCAUCAUCUAGUACUAGUUUCAUUGUGGUCAACUGAUUUAUCAAGUCUUGGAAUUCACUCAAAUGCUCAGCAACUGAUUUUCCCUCCUUUAGCUUCAGAUUCACAAGCUUUCUAAUAGUAAAAGCUUUAUUUUGAGCAGUCUUUCUCUCAUAGAGACUCUCCAAUUUUUCCCAAAGACUAUGUGCAUCUGUCUCUUGAGAUAUAUGAUGAAAAAUAUUAAUGUCAAUCCACUGUCUAAUAUAUCCAAUGGCUUUCUUGUUCAUCUUCUUCCAGUCACCGUCACUCACAUUGCUUGGUUUAGCACUAUCACCUUUAAUAGGUUCAUGUAAAUCCUUAUAAUACAAUAUAUCCUCCAUCAUAGCCUCCAAAUAGAAUAAAUUGAAGCCGACAAUUUAAUCAUAGUGCCCGAAGUAUUUUCCGUUUAUUCCGCAAUAAAAUCACACCACACAACCUGAGCUUUGAUACCACUUUGUUGGGCAAUAUCAAUUAUUGUAAGAAUAAUUUUUCCAAUCCAAGCAAUUAACUAGAAUGAUUAACUAUGCAAAUAAAUAAUCCAAGCAAAAAUAAGAAAAUACAACACCAAAUUUUUACGAGGAAAAAAAACCUCCAUUGUAGAGGGGGAAAAAUCAUGGGGCAACUCUGGCCAAAAUCCACUAUAAUAAAAUAUAUAUUACAAUUAUUCAAGUUUAUGCCCCUAAAAUUGAAUUCUCCACAAAUUGGAAUACCACAACAAUUAAUCUCUAAGAUCACAAAUAAUCUCACCACAAAUAAACAACUUGAUCAACCUUGUGCGUACCUACUUUGAAUACUACACCUCUAGAGUACCCAAAUUGCAACUUAGAGAAAUUUCCAAUUUAUAUUUUGCAGGGAAGAAAAUCUCUGUGAACCUACAACCAAAACAAUAUUGAAAGAAAAUAAACAUUUUCUUCCUUUUUCUUCUUCCACACGUGCACAACCCUUUCUUCAAAUUUUUAGCCAGUUUCCCUCCUCAGCGCGGCAGCAACCUGGCAGUUUAUGUUUUUUGCCUCACACACAAAGCCGCCAACUUUGACCUCUGCAAUUUGUCUCACAAUUAUAGCCACAGUUUAGAGAAAGAUAUAUAUAUAUAUAUAUAUAUAUAUAUCUCCUCUUGGGCUUAAAUUGAAACAAGUGGGCUGAACCCACUCAACAGAUGCGACCUCAAGGUGACAUACUUCGAUGUCGAGGAGAAUGGUUGUAUAGAUUCAAACUGCUCAUUUAACUAACAACGUCAUUCAAAGAUUGAGUUAAAAAUAAUAAUCAAAGUUCUUUAUUCUUUCCCAAAAACCAAAAACCAAAAACUUAGUAACUUAGUAUAUAUUACCUUCUACCAUAGCUUGGGCUCCCGUGAUAGCUAAGGAGAGUAAGACUCCUACGCCUUCGAAAACCUGUAUGGUUCAUGCAUUAACGGGCAAAACAGUCAUGCUCAGCAUACUCGUAGGAUUUUAAAGCAAAACCAGAACGGCCACGUCCCCUAAUACCACCACCACCUUUGCCACCACUUCCAUCCCUAGAAUUGUGAAAGCUCUACUCUCCAUCCAUUUGUACUUGUUCCAAUUAAUAAGGCUAUGAUUCUAGCAUGUUACAUACGAAAUUUAACAUCCCAUUAAUGUUGAUUGAAGAAAAUGCAAUAUGAUAAAAUAACAGGGGAGAAAAUUAGCACUCGAGGAGAAUUUAACAUUUCAAUAUUGAAUGAACAUACGAGGUGGUAUAUAAUUUUUGAUGUAUUUAAUAAUUCUUUCUCUCUAACAUUCACCAGGCCACUUCAUUGGAAAUACUCUCAUGUACUUCGGAGAAAAGUAGAAUGCAAAAGAGGGUUUUUAGAUUAGUACCUUAAUUUAUUGUGAGUAGCUUUUGCUUCUGGUACCAGAUGUAUUUCUAAUGAAGUAGAAUUAGGAAGUAAAUAAUAGGCACCUCCAUGCUUGCCUAGAGUAAGCUUUGCCACCAUUUCCACCCCUAGAAUUGUGUGAAAGCUCUACUCUCCAGCCAUUUGUACUUGUUCCAAUUAAAAAGGAUAUGAUAUCUGGCAUGUUACAUAGGAAAUUUAACAUCCCAUUAAUUUUUAUUGAAAAAGUGCAACAUGAUAAAAUAACAGGUGAAAAAAUUAGACAUAACUUUAGUAGCAGACAUAGAAGAAGAAGCAAAUCUUUAUGCCGACGUCAGUGGAAAACGAGGUUAAGUUGAAGACGCACCUCUGCAAGGGCAGGAGUAGCCAUUACUUGUUCAAAUCACCGUUCAUAUUGUUUCAACAACUGAGUAAUCGAAAAAUCCACUCCAAGCGUGCAAAAAAAUUUCGUGACAUAAAGUAAUGACUCAAAGAUAUUGUGGGUUCACUGUCACCUUAUUUCUUAUCUGAAAGAAUGUCAAUUUCUUAUCUGAAAGAAUGUCAACAUGUAUAGUCAUGUAUGAGUAAAUGGCCCAAAAUUUAUUCAAAUUUGAAAUCUAGAAAAUAGAGGAGUUUCUUUUGAAACAAUAAUUCAAAUGCAUAAAGAUUAAUUACUGUUGGAGGAAAUAAAUAAAUUUAAUAGAUAAUUACCUUGUGCAUCAUCUCAAGCUUUUCCCUGUACUUAGUGUGGUAAAGAUCUUCAUUCAUUGACAAGGAUGUCUCAAAAUCAGCAUCACCAGUCUCAAACUGCAAAAAAUAGCGAUAAAGUAUAGAUCAUUAUGUAAUUUCAUUAUGUAUAAGUAGAAUUAUUCUUAUAAAAUAUAGUAAGGAGAGCAUUAAAUUUUGAAGAAUACUUAACAAAUAUUAGUAUGAUUAUAGUGUUCCAUUUAUUGAUUGCAAACUAUGAUGCCUAUAAUUUUCCAUAUAUUUUCCUCUUAGGCGGGGAUAAAUAAAUAUUUCUAGUUUAUUGCUUUUCCUUUUGUUAAGUAUACUCUUUUCCCAAUUAACUUUGCAUGCUAACCUUUACAGAAAUUCAACCUAUAGCCAUUUUGGAAAAAACAAUGGCUCAUAGAGGUAGCACCUAUGAGGCCGUUAUUGCACCUAAUAGUGUUCAAUAUUAUUGUUGUCGAUUUUUAUAUCUCGCAAGUGUAUCAAUCGUAGCAUGUAAUAAAGUGGAACUAAGAGUCUAGAUAUCGUUACCACAAGGAUUAUUAUUUAACAAUUAGUUCAAUUAUUUCUAACUAUAAUUUGAUUGAAAGCAAGUAAUAAGUUUUAUGAUUGAUGUCUAAAUUAUUUUAAUUAAACUAAAUUAUCUAAUGUACACAACUUAUCGAAUUUUGGGUUUUAAAAGUAUGAAUAUGGAUGCUAGGACUUGCAAUUUUACCUAUGGCUCCCCUUUAAUUCGCCAAUCAAGAUUCAAUAUAAUUGUAAUGUUCAGUUGAAUUCUUCAAAAGUGUUCAAUUUACCUAUUUCGAGUUCUCAUUAAGUUUAUUUAACUAAUUCAAUCACAUAUCUCUAUGCGAAUCAAUUUUAAUUAAACAAAAAAUUAGUUUUAAGAAUUCAUCUAACAAUCGCAAUAAUUAGUAUAAGUAUCUCCACACGUUAUACCAAAUUAUCAAAUUUUAAAAUGUGGUCUAAAUCUAUAAUUCACCUCUCGAUUCAUAAUAGAUUUACAAAAUCAUUUAAUGAUUGGCCAAAAAACUCAACGCGUUAAGUGCAUAAUUAAAACCAACACAUAUGUAUCUAAAGAGCUCCAAUCAUGAAUAAAAGAAAUAAAGAGUCACACAUAAAUUACAUUGUUCGUCCCAGCUAUGAAUAUUACUACUCAUAAUAUGAAAGAAAAACAAUAAGUAUUGAGUUCAUAACCGGGUUUUGAAAUCUUAAUCAUGGAAAGAAUUGAUCUUGCACAAUAAUCUUUUUCAACUUCAAAAUUCUUCAAACCUUAGCUUUUGCUCUUUGAUCUUAUGAUUAUGUGUUUUUCUCUCUCCCAAUUUGUGUGGAACUCCUCUUGCCUCAUUGAAUUCUCCCCUAAAAGUGGCAUAUAGAUUGGUAUUAAUUUCUUCUUUAAGCUAUUGGAAGAGUUUGAUUGAAAUUAGGCUUUUAAAAGAUGAAUUAAACUAGGAAAAACCUAAUUGUACACGACGGGGCGCCUAGGCACUACUACUGAGCGCUGACUAUUGGGGAAAAAUUCAGCAACAUGGCACCUAGGCACUAAGGGAUAGAAACUACUUUUUUCUUACUUUUGAGUAAAAUAAGCUACUUGAAAUUAAUUUGCACCUUACAAUUUAUGUAACUUACUCAUUUUCAACUUUGACCAAUAAAAUAAUUUAUAACUUAUUUAUUUGCUUAUAAGUAAAUUUUUUAAGCUGAAACAUAUUCUAUGAUUUUUCAUAUGGUGCAGCUGUUCAACUGUUUCAGUUACCAUUUCUGCUUGCACUUUGAGGCUUUCGAUACGGGAAGGGCUCCCAUUUAUAUGGCAUUCAUUCAUUUCAUGGGUGGGAAGCAUGAUGUGAAUGAUAUAGCUUCGAAGUUGGGGCAAAUAGCAGAAGGCUGAUGUGGCAAGGAGCUUCAUAAAACAGUUCGAGAGAGUUUGGAUGGACUAAUUAUUCAAAGAACACAUGGAACUCUUUUACUCUGGAGGUAAUAGCCAGGAGCUCAAGCUAAAUGCACAAUUUUGAACUCUCUAAUAAGCAGAUAGCCUAUAAUUUAUCACCCACAGAUCAUGCACAAAAUUUUGCACAAUGUUUGCACAGAUUUGCACAGGCUGUGGAAAGGAUACUGUUGAACAAAUAGGAAAUAUAGUCCUAUUUAUUAGAAUUAAGAAUAGGUACUUUUAUCUAUAACUACUCGAACUUAAUUGAUCAGAUUUAAUUAGAUGAUUCUGUAAGUUUGAAUUAAAAUUGUUAUUAUUUUGGGUCUUAGAAUAGAGAUUUGAAUGGUUCUGUUCUGGUUCUUGAUUUUAGCUACAAAAUUGAGAUUUAGUGGGUUCUAAUUUUUUGAUAAUCUCUUAAAUCAAGAUAUCAUAUAAAUUUACAUUAAAUCUGUGUUCGCUUCCGACUGGUUUGUCUUUGGGUGAUCAAGCCUUGCACAGUAAUCCAACUCUUUUGUCACUACAUCAGGAGGAACGACGUUCUUGCUCCACAGUGAGGCUUUGGGGGUCCUUCCACUGUUCCUUUGCUCCUUCCAUUGGCAGAUGUUGAAGCCUAAAGAAGAAUCCACGCAAGAGGUUCAACAUUUUGGUUGUCUUCUUGGAACAUUAAGAACUUUACCUCAAGAUCCACAUACUGAUCGAGAUAAGUUUUUCCAGCUUUAUAUAUCAAGUACGCUCUUUUUCUUCCUUGAUGCCAGUCUGAGUGGCAAAUUAUUGGCUCACAGACUUCAAUGUCUUGCUAAAGCCUAUUGUAUUUCUAUCAUGUGGUUUUCUUAGAACACUCAACAGCUUUAUCGUAAAGGUAGAAUGUGAAUCAUAAUUAGCCUCUUCUUCCCCCCUACAUGAUACGAACCUUCCAUCCUUCACUAAAUGUGAUCCUUAUAUUGGCGCGGAAUAUUUUUUCCAUCCAACAUUUUUAUAAAUUCAUGCACAUCCUCAUCUAAGAGUUUACCCUCUGAACGCAAGUUCUAAUUCUUAAUAAAAUGUAAUAAUUCACUAUAUUCCCCAAAUUCAUCCUAUAAAAUGACUUCCUUUUUUGAUUAUCACAAAUACAUAUAUUUCCUUUUCCAUCUAGGGAGAAAACCCCAAUUAAUCUAUCACCCUUUAUGAUGUUUUGUAGCCACAAAUUCAUGAACAUCACUUUCCUUCUCUCUGUGUGCUAGUACCUACUGCGAGAAGAUAGUGUCAAGGAUUACUGUAAGGAGGGUUUUUUGGCGAUGGAACAAGAGGCAAAAUGCUGGGAGAGUGCUUUUCAAAAAACACAAUUAUAAUGGAAUAACGAGUAACUUGGAUUAGACUUGCAACAUCACCAUGUCACCAUGUCGGAAAAAGAAAUGGAGAAAUUGAAUUUAUAGUCCACAAUUUAUACAUAAAUAAGUAUUCAAACUUUUUAAUUAAUAUUUCUUGAUAAACAAGUCCUUAAUUUUCAAUCUUAUAUUGAUUAAAGUGCAAAAUUAUUGUUUUAAAAAGAGAAAUAGACACAAAUUUAGCUAAAAUAGAUAUACUACAACCUUUUAGCAUUUUAAGUAGAAUUUAAGAUUUAAUAUCAUUUUUGUAAUUGUUGUUUAUGAAAAAUGCUUAACAUUUCUCAUCCGAAGAUAUUGAUUGGAGUUGACCAAGUUCUAACAAGAACCACUCUUAUGUUUUUAGCACACAAAAAAGUUCAAGAUAUUGCCAAAAACCUUUCAAGAAAAUAUUGAUACGAAAAUUUGACACGAACCGUCCCGAAUCACCUUAGUGGACUCGAAAUGUGACGUGCGUCGAUGAUAGAUGCUGACUAGAUGUCAAAUCUAUCACCAAAACUGACUAUGAGUUAUUCAAAAAAUGCAACAAAAUCAAAUGUUUAGGUAAAACAUAAUGCAAUGGGCCCAAAUUAUUUGUUUUGUGCUUCAUCAAAAUGAGUUAUAACACUCAACAUGUCGUGUGGCUCUCAUUUCGAAAUCAUUAGGCUCUUCCAGCUAAAAAGAAUCAGUUUUCACCUGUAGAAAAAUUACGGAAAAAUAUAUGAGUUGAUAAUUCAGUGAGUGGAGAAGUUCGAAAAAUAAUUAUACCUUUUCAUUUAAACAUUUUUUCGCAAAUCGAGUUCAUAUCAUUGAAUACUUCACAAGGUAACAUCAUAAAAUUUAUAGCAAAAAAUUGAGACAUUCUCAUAUCUCUGUAAAUAUCAUCUCUUAUAUACGAUAUAGUCAUUAGCUGAUAUCUAUACCAUCAUCUCAUCUCAUCACAUCACAUGUGAUCCACCAAAAAUGUAUCAUCUGACUAAAAUCUACAAUCCGUCCCUCGGGCUAAGAACUUUCGCUACGGACCUUUGGCCCCCUUUGUGAACAAAAACCGGUCUCAAAGACCUCUUAUAAUCAAUUCUAGAAUACGGUCAAGACCCCUCUGUGAAUUAUAUGUACACGAUCAAGAUCAAUGUUAGGUCAAGACCCUCCGUCUAAGAUAGAACACGAACAAGGCCCCUCUGUGAACUAGACGAAGUAUAUAAUCAUGGAUACUUUUUUGGCCGAUCUCAAUAUUACAUGUCUCACAUACCAAACAAAUAUUAAUAUCACAUGUCUCAUAUACCAAAUCACAAAUAUACCAUAAAUAAUCCUUGAAAUUCUACAUGGAUCAUAAUAAAAGAGAUUUCCAUAAUAAUCAUGUAAUUCGAACACAUAAUUGCAUAUAAUUGCACAUACUUUAACAAUAUACUUAAUUUAUAAAUACUUUAAAAAUAUUACUUUAAAAACAUUAUAUUUUUCCACUCACAGUAUUAUGUUCGCAAAAUCAAUCCGAUUGGUAAGCUGUUCUGAUGUCAGUAUCGUUGCCUGAAAUACGAUAUAAUUUUUAAAUAAACAAUUAAUUAUUUUAAAUAAUUUCAAUAAUUAAAUAAGCGAUACCCAAACUUAAUCAUUUCACGUUUAAGCGAUUUCUACAGUCUCUUUAAUCACUAAAACUAGUUUUUCUUUCACUUUACUCAAUUUCAUAGUUUAUUAUACUUAACCCCUUCAAUAAAAUUGAAUUUAGUCUAAAAAUCUAACUAUAAAAUUAAGCAUAACUUGAAAAUAAAUAACUUUUUACUUACGUUUCAAAAUUGAGAAAUCCAAGCCUAAUAGUAUAGACCCCUUAUUUUCUAACAACUUGGCAAAAAUAUUCUAUUUUUUCUUCUUUCUUCUUUCUCUCCUUUUUUUUCUUCUUCUUUUUUUUUUCCCCUCUUUUUCUUCCUUUCUCUCAGAUAUUCUUCUCUGCCGUCUCUAACUUUUCUAUACAUAUGUAUGCAAAUGAAAAAUCAUGGCAAUGGGACUAAAAUUUGGACAUUUGGACUCCACUAACUCAUUUUUGCAAAGGAAGUCCUUAUUCUUCAAUUUAAUAUAACAUCUAGUCCUUUGCUUCAAAUAAUAUAUAAGUAGAUCCCUAAAAUUAAGUUUUAUCCAUUUUAAACCUUUAACUAUUUUUCAUAAUAAAUUAAACCCCAAUAAAAUAAUUUAUUUCAUUUAAAUCCCAAUUUGACAUUGAUUUUGACCAAUUGAAUUUUGGACUUUGACUAAAUAAUUUUCUUGACUUUGACUAUAAGUGAGUGUGUUAUAACAAUCUUACCUCCGUCAAAGAAUUUCGUCCUCGAAAUUCAAUCAACUAGGAUUCGAAUACAAUGAUAUAGAGCAUAUAUUUGAAUACUUGGCCCACGAUGCCUAGACUUUCUUCAUAGAAUCUAUUCAUUUCCUAUCAAGAUCUAGAUUGAUUUAUCUUCAUAUGUACGAUUUUCAACCAACUCCACUGAUGACUUUAUGGCAUUAGUUAAAUGUGACGUCCAUUUACUAACCCUCGAAUAUAUGGAAUACACGUUGAACCGAUACAUUAAAUAUCAUCCUAAUAUAAAUAUGUGAUAUUUUUAACUUUUUCAUUUUAUCACCUAACGAUAAUAUAUACACAACUUUAAGUUCGGCUCCUUUUUGAAUAUGAAUAUACCUUAACCUCACGUGGUCCGUAAGUAUUGAUCUUCCCACCAUGUGAUAACGCCAUAAUUCCUAAAUGUCAAUCCCAAUAUAACCAACCUUAUAUCAUGAUUUAAUCAUAUCUCUUUAUUAAUCUACAACAUAAUCCAUAUUUUAUCAUUCCACUUAGAGAACAUUUUCUAAACCAUAACAUAGAUCAUUAUCAUGAAUCAUUCGCUUAUCAUCUUUAGAUAUAAGAGUAAAUAUUUUUUCAAUAUUUCUUGAUAGCAAAAUAUUUGACAUUUCUAUACACAUACAAAUCUUGUUCUUUCUUUCUAUGAAGGGACAAUAAUAACAUUUAAUCCAUGAAAAUCUAUACUCUUAUUUAUAAAUAGAUUGUCAAUCUAUCAUCAAUGCAUAAUCCUUUUUGUAUAUCACAUAAAGAUCUUUAAUUAAGAUAAUGUAACCUAAAGAUAUUAUUUCACAAUGAGUAAAAUCUCUAUUUGACGAUCAUCUUAAACUUUAGACAUAGCCAAUAUGUCCUACUUAUAUUCCUUAACAAAUUUAUUUUGACAAAAAUGGAAUACUUUGUUCAUGAUCCAAAAUACAAUUAAAAAUAGCCCAAAAUUUACAUCACUAACAUUUCAAUAAAUUCAUCUUAACUUCAAAAUUUAAUUCAACGCUUCCAAAUUGUAUGAAAUAUAACACAAUAAUCAACAAAUGACAUUAACAAAAUUCAUUAACUUAAAUAACCCAAAUAAAUCAUCACAUUACUUUGCUACAGGACAACCAUUACAUUCAUUUUCAUGCUAUUCACCAUAUUAUGUUAUGAUCUUGUAACUUUGGCAUUUAUCGUUAUAUCAUAUGACUUAAAACAUUUAAUUAUAUAAAUUUCCCUUAAUAUCACAAGAUGAUAACAUUCAUAUUUAUCACUUGAACAUUCCACACAUCAACGUACCGCAUGUUAAUUUCCCAAUCUCAACAAACUUCGAUUCUACCAUUCUCAAUUUCAUUUUUUUUUCCACAUAAACAUACCUAAAUGCACAUAUCCAUUUAAUUCUAUUUUCAAAGCACCAAAUCACCCCAUAAUGGGUAAUCAUUAUGAAGUUCAUCCCUAUUAUUCUCACAUUCCUUGUAAUCAAACCACUCAUAAAUAAUCGAAAUAAUUGGAAUUACCGUUAAUUUCGUCGAUGCUUAAAAGACACAAUAACACAUUGUCAUUUAUCAAUCAACAAAUCAUCAUUUUGUCUUCCAUUAUCAUAUAGCAUAAAUAUACACCAUUAUGAUUUCUAUUAUCAUCCCAUAUAAAUGGCCACAAAUGACCACAAAAUUUUGAUGACACUAAUGACCAUUUGGCUUCAAAAUAAUUAAAACUCCACGAUAGUUGUAAAAUCUAUAACUUCGAAUGUGCCGCAAAAUUAUCAAAAUCUGUUCAAAUCUUAAUAGGUUACAUAUACACAUAGUUCCAACCCAACAACUAAUAACAUUUCCAACCAUCGGAUCAUUGCAACUAUCAUACUUACAUACUAGUCUUUUCUGGAUCUGUUAAAAAUAUAUUUCUAUCAUUUUUGGUUCCAUACAUUUGAGAUAAAGAGCCUGUGAUUUCUGCCACCACGACAUGUGAUCAUAUCCAUUGAACAUGCACGAACCAUUAAAAAUUUCGAAACCAUGCUCUGAUACCACUUUGACACGACCCAUCCCUAAUCAUCCUAGUGGACCCGAAAUGUAAUGUGCACCAAUGAUAGAUGCUGACUAGAUGUCAAAUCUAUCACUAAAGCUGACUAUGAGUUAUUUCAAAAAAUACAACAAAAUCAAAUGCUUAUGUAAAAUAUAAUGCGAUGGGCCCAAUUUAUUUAUUUUGUACUUCAUCAAAAUGAGUUAUAACACUCAACAUGUCGUGUGGCUCUCAUUCCAAAAUCAUUAAGCUCUUCCAGCUAAAAAAAAUCAAUUUUCACCCAUAGAAAAAUUACAGAAAAAUAUAUGAGUUGAUAGCUCAGUGAGUGGAGAAAUUCGAAAAUAAUUAUAUUUUUUCAUUUAAACAUUUUUAUCGAAAAUCGAGUUCACAUCAUUGAAUACUUCACAAGGUAACAUCAUAAAAUUUAUAGCCAAAAAUUGAUACAUUCUCAUAACUCUGUAAAUAUCAUCUCUUAUAUAUGAUAUAGUCAUCAGCUGAUAUCUAUACCAUCAUCUCAUCACAUCACAUGUGAUCCACCAAAUAUGUACCCCCUGAAUAAAUCUGUAAUCCGCCCCUCGGGCUAAGAACUUUCUCCACUGGCCUUUGGCCCCCUCCGUGAACGAAAGCCAGUCUCAAAUACCUCUCAUAAUCAAUUCUAGAACACGGUCAAUGCCCCCCUGUAAACUAUAUGUAUAUGAUCAAGACCAAUGUCAGGUCAAGACCCUCCGUGUAGGAUAGAACACGGUCAAGGCCCCUCUGUGAACUAGAAAAAGUAUAUAAUCAUGGGUACUUUUAUGACCGAUCUCAAUAUUAUAUGUCUCACAUACCAAACAAAUAUCAAUAUCACAUGUCUCAUAUACCAAAUCACAAACAUAUCAUAAAUAAUCCUUGAAAUUCCGCAUGGAUCAUAAUAAAGGAGAUUUCCAUAAUAAUCAUGUAAUUCGAACACAUAAUUGCAUAUAAUUGCACAUAUUUUAACAAUAUACUUAAUUUAAAAAUACUUUAAAAAUAUUUAUAUGUUUCCACUCACAGUACUAUGUUCGCGAAAUCAAUCCGGUUGGUAAGCUGUUCUGAUGUAAGUAUCGUUGCCUGAAAUACGAUAUAAUUUUUAAAUAAACAAUUAAUUAUUUUAAAUAAUUUCAAUAAUUAAAUAGGCGAUAUCCAAACUUAAUCAUUUCACGUUUAAGCGAUUUCUACAGUCUCUUUAAUCACUAGAACUAGUUUUUCUUUCACUUUACUCAAUUUAAUAGUUUAUUAUACUUAAUUCCUUCAAUAAAAUUGAAAAUCUAACAACUAUGAAAUUAAACAUAACUUGACAAUAAAUAAUUUUUUACUUACCUUUCAAAAUUGAGAAAUCCAAGUCUAAUAGUAUAGACCCCUUAUUUUCUAACAACUUGGCAAAAAAUUUCUAUUUUUUCUUCUUUCUUCUUCCUCUCUUUUUUUAUUUUUUUUUAAAUUUUCUCUCUUUUUCUUCCUUUCUCUCGGAUCUUCUUCUCUGCCGUCUCUAGUUUUUCUAUACAUAUGUAUGCAAAUGAAAAAUCAAGGCAAUGGGAUUAAAAUUUGGACAUUUGGACUCCACUAACUCAUUUUUGCAAAGGAAGUCCUUAUUCUUCAAUUUAAUAUAACAUCUAGUCCUUUGCUUCAAAUAAUAUAUAAGUAGAUCCCUAAAAUUAAGUUUUAUCCAUUUUAAACCUUUAACUAUUUUUCAUAAUAAAUUAAACCCCAAUAAAAUAAUUUAUUUCAUUUAAAUCCCUAUUUGACAUUGACUUUGACCAAUUGAAUUUUGGACUUUGACUAAAUAAUUUUCUUGACUUUGACUAUGAGUGAGUGGGUUAUAACAAAAUUGGAGUAAUGCUAUUUUGUAGCAUCACUAUUGCACAACACGAUAGAAGCACAACAAUUGGACAAUAUAGUUUAAUUAAAUUAUAGGACCAUUGAAUUGUGUGUAUUCUCGCAAAGCUAUUAUUGAUUAUACCUCGGCUCAUGUGUAUUUCGGGCUUAUUGUUAGGAGUUUACUUGUAAAACAUAGAUUUUCUUCAAUGACCACUUGUUUUCUUAUCUUUGCUUUUUAUAAACAUUUACAAUCAUGAUAGCAUGCAUUUUGAAGAAUACUUCAUGAAUAUUAGUCUGAUUAUAGUGUUUCAUUUUACUAAUUCAAUACUCUAAUGCCUAUGAGUUUUUCAUAUAUCUUUCUUUUAGGCGGCAAUGUAUAAAUAUUGCUAGUUUAUUGCUUUUCCUUUUCUCAAGUAAACUAUUUUCCCAAUUAACUUUGCAUGGUAAUGUUUUGCAGGAAUUUAACAUAUCGCCAUUCAGGAAAACUAAUGGCUUGUGGAGGUAGCACCAAUGAGGGCGUUAUUGCACCUGACAGUGUUGAAUCCCAAACAAGGCCUUCUAGAAAAGCUUCAACUCUUAUGGGCACGAAUCAUGGAGUGCUGUAAAAAACUACUGUGUGUAAACUGCUUGAGUUCUACAUUUGUAUGAACAUAAUGUAUCCUCCAGUUCACCAGGUAGGAUCUCUUGUAAGUGAUAGACUAAUAGUUUUUGUUUUUUUGGGUACUUCUAGACUUGCAAAAGUCACCAAUAAGGUGAUUAUGAGUCUUAUAUGGCUCAAGGAAUAGUGUCUCACUUGUCAGAGUUAAUAGCUCAAAGGUGGGGUUGCUGACCCGUUUGAUUGUUGCAUGCAUUUUUUUUCCAUCAUCAUCUCAAUGUUAUGCUCAUCAUAUAUUGUAAAUAUAUUAGCCGAAUUCAUACUCAAAGUAACCGGAUAUAUAUAUUUUCUCUGAAUAAUAGACUAAAAGAUAUCUUCGACUAUAUUUUGUGUUGAUGAUAUGUGCUUGAGUAUUCAAUUUUUUAUUUUUUAUUUUUUAUUUUUUUGUGUUGUGGGCUAUCCAAUUAAUACGACUCAUAAUUAGAUCAUUGCACCAGUACGGAUUUCAUGGACGUGGAUCAAAGAAUGGCUAUGCAUGUUGCAAUGGUAACAUAUGCCGUUCAUCUUUUCAAUUUUAUUUAUUUAUUAUUAUUAUUAUUAUUUUUAAUCUUGGCAGUUUGUGAAUUCACAUUGAAAAACAUGAAUCGCUAAUGAAUUUCUCAUUUUUCAAACAAAGGGUGCUCAACCAACGCCAUGCAACUACAAAAUAGGAUGUUCAAGGAAGAGCUCAGCUGUUAAAGUUGUGUUGAGGUUGCAUAGUAGAAUUCCCCCCCCCUCCCCCGCCCCGAGGAAAAAAAAUAAAAUUCGGAUGACAUUUUCAAAAUCCUUAUUCUAAAUUGUGUAUUUUCUGUGACCUUCAUUAGAAUCGCAUGUUGCGUGUCUUGUACGAGUUAACAAAUACUACAAGUUGCUAUAGGGGCAGACGUAAACAUUUUACAUUAGGGGGUCAAAAUCAAAUUAUUUUAAAAAGCGAGGAAAUUUUUUUUAUUACUUUAUAUGGAUUAUAAACUGUUAUACAACUUUUUCAGCUUGAUUAUUUUUACAUAUAAGAAAUUUUUAUAUAUAAAAAAAGGAUCAUUUUUAGGAUUUUUUUAUUGUUACUUUUCCUCUUAAUCAAUUAAUUUUUUUUAGAAAAAUAAUCUAAUAAAUUUCCUAAUAAAAUUUUUGACGUCAUUUGAAAAAAAUUAAUUGAUCGAAAGGAAGAGUUAACAAUAAUUAUAAAAAAAAUCCUAAAAAUGAUUGAAUUUUUGUUUUAUAUAUAAAUUUUUUUUCAAGUUGAAAAAAUAGUAUAACGAUUUCUAACCCCUAUGAACUAAUAAAAAACUUAUUAAGAAUUUUUACGUCAAAAAAUAAUAAAAUUUGACACCAUACCACUUAUAAAAUUUCCUAAUAAAAUGAUGUAACUUAUAUUGAGAAAUUUCUCGUGCAAAAAUAAUAAACAUUAAUAAAAUAAUUAAAUUCUUUUCAAAAAAGACGAGUUAUACGUCUCUUUUUAGCAUACACGUUUGACGUAUGUUUAAUUAUUUUCGAUAUUAAUUUAAAUCAUUCGAUAUGUUUAUGAUAUAGUUCUCGAAAUGAGUUUCGAGAGGAUAUAGAAGAUUUAUGGAUAUGGCUAGCGUAUAAUUGUCGAAGAAUUUUUAAAGAUAGUUUGUAAUCGAAAUUCUCGAAAUAUUAGUUUAAAAUAACCUAUUUUGAUGCAUCGUAACAUUUGCUACGAUAGGCCAUUUCUCACAACAUUAAUGACGUGAAAUACUAGGCCGUAAGUACUUCAAAAUAAUAUUAAGAAUGUAAUAUUUCAACUACGUUUGAUAUUCCACAGUGAGCCCGAAAACCAAGAUGGCCAAAAAAAAAAAAAAAAAAACCAACUUGGAAAAACUGGAGGGUCAAGUGACCCUCGGGGACCCCCCUUGGGUCCGCCCUUGAGUUGCUGGACUCUAUCAGUCCAGUCAUUGAUUCCUAUUUCACAUUUUAUAUGAUGAUGUAGGCUGUGAUUUUUUUUUUCUUUUUUCUUUUUUUCUUUUUUUUUCCUUUUUUGUGCAUUUUAGCUAGUAUGUUUGACAUAUCCUUAAGAUAUACUCUGCUCUACAUUAAACACUUUAUCUUUCUAUGAUCUCUUUUUUGUGAUCCCUAAUUUUGAUCCUUAUACACACGAUUUAUAUCUUGUUUAUCACAAUAUAUCUUGUAAAUAAAUUUCCCUGCCUCAGCUACAAGAUCAAUAUAUACUUUCCAUUCAUUUCUCGCUUUUUAUUAAAAUAUACAGUCAAGAUAGCAUGCAUUUUGAAGAAUAAUUUAUGAAUAUUAGUCUGAUUAUAGUAUUUCAUUUUAUAGAUUCUAUACUCUAAUGACUAUGAGUUUUUCAUAUAUUUUCCUUUUAGGCGGCGAUAUAUAAAUAUAGCUAGUUUAUUGCUUUUCCUUUUCUCAAGUGAACUAUUUUCCCAAUUAACUUUGCAUAGUAUGUUUUACAGGAAUUUAAAAUAUCGCCAUUUAGGAAACAUAAUAGCUUGUGGAGGUAGCACCUAUGAGGGCGUUAUUGCACCUGACAUUGUUGAAUCCCAAACAAGGCCUACUAGAAAAGCUUCAACUCUUAUGGGCACGAAUCAUGGAGUGCUGUCAAAAACUACUGUGCAUGAACCGCUUGAGUUCUACGUUUGUAUGAACAUAAUGUAUCCUCCAGUUCACCAGGUAGGAUCUCUUGUAAGUGAUGGUUUCUGUUUUUUUGGGUACUUCUAGACUUGCAAAAGUCACCAAUACAGUGAUUGUGAGUCUUGUAUGGCUCAACGAAUAGUGUCUCACUUGUCAGAGUUAAUAGCUCAAAGGACGGUUGCUGACCCGUCUGAUUCUUGCACACUUUUUUUUUUCAUCAUCUCAAUGUUAUGCUCAUCGCUAUCAGAAUUAGAGUCUCAUAUAUUGUAAUAUAUUAGCCGAAUUCAUACUCAAAGUAACCGGAUAUAUAUAUUUUCUCUGAAUAAUAGACUAAAAGAUAUCUUUGACUAUAUUUUGUGUUGAUGAUAUGUGCUUGAGUAUUCUUUUUUUUUUUUUUUUUGCUAUGGGCUAUCCAAUUAAUACAAUUCAUUAUUAGAUCAUUGCAUCAGUAUGGAUUUCAUGGACGUGGAUCAAAGAAUGGCUAUGCAUGUUGCAAUGGUAACAUAUGCCGUUCGUCUUUUCACAUUUUGCAAAACACAGGAUUUUUUAUUUUAUUUUAUUUAUUUAUUUUUUAAUCUUGGCAGUUUGUGAAUUCACAUUGAAAAACACGAAUCACUAAUGAAUUUCUCAUUUUUCAAACAAAGGGUGCUCGACCAACCCCAUGCAGCUACAAAAUAGGAUGUUCAAGGAAGAGCUCAGCUGUUAAAGUUGGGAUCAGGUUGCACAGUAGAAUCUCCCCCACCCCCACCCCUCCAUUCGGAGGACAUUUUCAAAAUCCUUAUUCUGAAUGGUAUAUUUUCUGUGACCUUCAUUAGAAUCGUAUGUUGCGAGUCUUGUACGAGUUAACUAAUACUACAAGUUACUGGACUCUAUCAGUCCAGUCAUUGAUUCCUAUUUCACAUUUUAUAUGAUGAUAUAGGGUGUGAUAUCCUUUUUCUCUUUUUCUUUUUCUUUUUCUUUUUUCUCGCAUUUUAGCUAAUAUGUUUGACAUAUCCUUAUGAUAUACUCUGCAGUCUGCUCUACAUUAAACACUUCAUCUUUCUGUGAUCUCUUUUUUAUGAUCCCUAAUUUUGAUCCUUAUACACAAGAUUUAUAUCUUAAACCCAUUCACAAUAUAUCUUGUAAAUAAAUUUCCUGUCUUAGCUACAAGAUCAAUAUAUACUUUCCAUUCAUUUCUCUGUUAUUCUUGAAAAACCCUCUUGGUUCUCCUUUUAGGUAAUUUUUACUUCUUGAAACAUCUACAUUUUCAUAUUUUGAUGUUGCAUAGCAUUUUUUUUUAGCUUUAACCGUCAUAUGAACUUCUUGUUCCACUAGCACCAUCACUAUGUUAUCAAAUAAAUGACUGAAGGGUUGCAUAUUAUAGUGGAUGCAGAUUCUAUUAAGACAUAUAUUCUAGUAUUAACUGACAUUUUGGAUCGAGAAAUUCCCACUUCUGUUCUUUGGAGUAACAAAAGUUUUAUUUUGUUUGAAUCUUUCUAAGAAAAAAGGAAUUAAAAAGUCACUUUUUUCAUUAAUUUGGCGUAAGCUGGCUUUUUCACCUUGCAUACAAUUUCUAGGAAAUAUGGAAAUAAUUUAGCAUCAUUUUAUUCCCAUCCCCUUGAUGCAUAUACAAUAAUAUGCAUAAGAAAGUAAAUUAAUAUAUGGAUGUAUCUCUCAAUCCUCGGUGUUGGAAAAAAAUAAAUAAAUUGAUCACUUUUUUAAAGCCCAUAUUAAGCUGAUAGUCUCAUGAUCAUUUUCUCUUGUUCAGUGUCCAAAUCAAAUGGCCACACUUUGUGCUCUAAGUGCAAGUCCAAAGUGUCUUCUCGCCCAAUUUUCUGUCAAGAACUUGGGAACUGUAGGGAUGAAUUCCACCGCCACCAUGUGCAAAACCGGGCUCAGUUUACCACAACAUCGACACCAAUUCCGUUGAGACAACUCCAACACCACCCUUGCCGCCCCCACUCCGGUUGCUAUCAUUUGGAGAAGGAGAAACACAUUAAUGUGCCCAUAAUAGGUUAACCACUAAGGUCACAGUGAGGGGGAAGGGAGAGGCUGAGAGGGAGACUCACAAAGAGAAGAGAAAAUUUCACUCUAUGGAGGCCGAAACAAGAGAGGGAUUAUAUGCCAAAUAAAGUGUCCAAACAGGUAAGUUACAAUUAGGGUUAAGUGGUGGACCAACAAACACGGCUCGACUCAAUUAAGUGGGCUUCAACAAUAAUAAUAUAGCCUUCCAAGGAAUGGUGCGAGAAUCGUGAAUAGCACUAUAAAAAUAGGUUGCUUCUAACGGUCCAUAAUAAAGUGGAUUGUGUUGUCUCGAUAAUUGUGUUGAUGUACUAAUCAAUCAUUUGGCCGAGGCCGAUUGAUAAUAAACAACCGAGGUUACAUCAUCGCCCGGGGAGGUCCUUUGACAACAAAAUUGCCUAACAACCUCCACCUUGGUGUCAAAGGACCUGCAAAGAAAAUUGUCUCCCAUUAGUGACACCUCUAAUAGAAAAACAAUAAAAUUGGAAAUCAUUUACCUGUACCAAUGUUUAGAAGUUCCUUGCAACUCCUAAACUUUGCCAGUGGCAGUACCUUCAUCCCCAUAUCAGAUGGGUUGUAGUGGGUAUGGACUUUCUCAUGUCUUACCACCUCUUGAGAUACUAUAUCUCUAAUGAAGUGGAGUCUAACAUCAAUGUGUUUAGUGUGCUCGUGAAAAAUAGGAUUUUGCAUAAAUGUAUAGAUGACUGACUAUCAGAAUACACUACCACAUACUCACUCAGGACACACAGUUCAUGAAGUAGACCUCUAAGCCAUAGAGCUUCUUUAAUAGCUUCAGUAGUAGCAAUAUAUUCUGAUUCUGUAGUGGAUAGUGCAACAACAUGUUGUAACUGUGAUUCCCAACUUACACAUGAAUUAGAUAACGUAAACACGUAAGAUGAAAUAGAUUUCCUACCAUCCCUAUCUCCCGCAUAGUCAGCAUCUACAAAACCCUUUAAUUUUAUGCCUUCUUUAUUAGUACUAAACUUUAAGCCUACGUUACUAGUACCCUUCAAGUACUUUAACAGCCACUUUAACGCUUCCCAAUGUUCAGGUCCCGGAUUAGCCAUAUAUCUACUGAGAGUACUAACAGCAAAACCUAAAUCAGGUCUAGUGCAAACCAUCAAAUACAUUAUGGAACCAAUCACAUUUGAGUAAGGUACUCUACUCAUGUAUUCAACUUCACGCUCAUUGCAAGGAGACUGUUCCUUAGAUAAAACAAAAUGAUUAGCAAAGGGCAACGUGACAAGUUUGCAUUCACUCAUAUUGAAUUUCUUCAAUACUUUGGAUAUGUAUGAAAACUGAUGCAAAAACAAAACAGAAUUUGACCUAUCUCUUUCGAUUUCAAUACCUAAGAUUCUCUUAGCCUUACCUAGGUCUUUCAUUUAAAUUCACCACUUAGUUUUGUUUUUAUAUUAUUUAUCCACUUAGAGGAUGAUCCAAUCAAAAGCAUGUCGUCCACAUAGAGCAACAAAAACAGAUAAUUAUCAUCAGUCUCAUUGUGUUGAAAGUACAGGCAGUGAUCAAAUUUAUUUAUUUGAAACCCUAUAGUAAGUACAAAGGAAUCAAACCUCUUGUACCACUGUCUAGGAGAUUUUUUUAACCUAUACAAGGAUCUUCUCAGAAAACACACAUAAUCAGGUUUUGACUUAUCCUUAAAACCUUUAGGUUGAUUCAUGAAAAUUUGUUCAUCAAGCUCACCAUGUAAGAAAGUAAUUUUUACGUCAAGUUGUUCAAGUUCCAAGUCAAAUUGAGUAACUAAUGCGAGCAUAACCCUAAUAGUGGUGAACUUAACAACUGGUGAGAAAAUUUCAUUAUAAUCAACGCCCUCCUUCUGUGUGUAGCAUUUAGCCACUAACCUAGUUUUAAACCUUAGGUGUUCUAAGCUGCUAGUUCCUUCCUUAACCUUAAAAACCCAUUUGCAAUCAACAAUUGAUUUAUUCUUAGGCCUAGGUACUAGCUCCCAAGUAUGAUUCUUUUCUAGAGAACUCAUCUCUUCUUUCAUUGCCUUAAGCCAUUCAUCAGAUUGAUCACUGCCUAACGCUUCUUCAAAAGUCUUUGGCUCUUUAUCAGCUAGUUCUUCAUAACUAGCCUGGGCAAAAGCUAAUUCAGAUUCAAAACCAAACCUUCUAGGUUCUCUCGUCUGUCUCCUCUCUCUAUCUCUAACUAAGUUAUAGUUAGCUAAGGGAUUCUCUUCCUCAUAGUGUUCUUCUGUCACUAUUUCAUUACUAUUCUCCACUUCGGGUUCUUGAGUUUGAGUCUCCACCUCAUUUGAGACAGUAGGGGCAGGUGUACUGAGUUUUCCUAACUCCACCUUAAACUGGUCUCUCUCUUCACCUGAUUCUACUUCACUCUCAGGUUCAGUUUUCCCUUGAAUACACGGCAUCUCAUUUUCGUUAAAUGUGACAUCUCUACUUAUGAUGAUUUUAACUCCUUUUUAGCUUUUAUCCCAUAACCUAUAACCUUUAACACCCUCGGGGUAUCCUAAGAAAACACACUUCCUAGCUCUAGGUUCCAGCUUACCCUUACUUUGAUGAGAAAAAGCUGUACAGCCAAAAGUUCUAAGUAUCGAGUAAUCACUUAGUUUACCCGACCAUUUCUCAUUUGGAGUAUCACCAUUCAAUGCAGCAGAGGGUGUAAGAUUAAUCAAAUAGCAAGCUGUCAUAACAGCCUCACCCCAAAAUGACUUGAGAACACCCGAACUGAUCAUCAUGCAACGUACUUUAUCAAGUAUGGUUCUAUUCAUCCUUUCUGCUACCCCAUUUUGCUGAGGGGUGUAGGGAAUGGUCGUAUGUCUAGUUAUGCCGCUUUCUUUACACAUACUAUUAAAUUCUUUAUUGCAAAAUUCUAGGCCAUUAUCUGUCUUUAAAAAUUUGAUUUUCUUGCCAGUUUGGGUUUCCACUUGUCUCUUCCAAUUAUUAAAACUAUUGAAGGUCUCAGAUUUAUCCUUCAAAAGAUAGACCCACACCUUCCCAGUGUAGUCAUCAAUAAUAGACAGGAAAUACCUAUUACCACCCGAUGUGGGGUUACUGGCAGGACUCCAAAGAUCAGAGUGCACAUAUUCGAGCAUGCCUUUAGCUCUAUUAACACUCAUGGAGAAAGAAGUUUUGUGAUGCUUACCAAGCACACAAUGAUCACAAAAUGGCAAAUCUGACACACAGUCAUUACCAAAAGCACCCUUUUCAUUAAGUAGCUUAAGUCCCUUGACUCCUACGUGAGCAAGUCUAUUGUGCCAUGUGUGUGUGUGAUCAAUCUUGGCAGAGGAGAUAGAGAAAUUCACAUCUCUAAUCACUUUCCCAAUAGUAAUGUAUAUAUCAUUUUUCUUAAUUCCCUUAAUGGAAACUAAAGCACCCUUGAUCAUUUUUAGCAUACCAUUUCCAAUUUUACCAGUAAAGUCAUCCUUCUCAAGUCUCCCUACUGAAAUCAAAUUCCUAGACAAUUCAGGAAUAUAUCUAACAUCCUUUAACGUAUACACAAAACCCGUGUCAAAUUUUACAUUUAUGUCACCAAUUCCAGCAAUAAUAUAGGCAAAGUUAUCACACAGCACAACAUGCCCAACGUUAGAUUCAUGCAACUUACAAAACCAGUUUUUUUCAGACAUCACAUGAAAAGAUGCACCAGAAUCAAGUAUCCACUCAUGGAUGCGGGAAUUAGCAGUUAGAUUUAAUUCAACAGUGUAUGCAGCUGGACUUGUAAUCAUAUAGACCUCACCACCAUUUAUAUCAGAAGUAGAUGCUAACACAUUUACCUCAUCUCUCUCCUUAGCUUUUAGCUUACGCUUCUCCUUAUGACAAUCUUCUAUAAAAUGCCCUGUGUUUCCACAACCAUAGCAUUUUCUCGCUUUAAUCCUAGAUGUUGAUCUCGACCUACAUUUGCUCUUCUUUUUCCAUCCAUUACCACUUGACUCGCCACUAGUUUGAUAUCCCUCAUGAUUAUUUUGCCUAAAUUGAGUUCUACCUCGCAUCAUAUGUACCUCACCAUUCCUCUUAUCAUGUUUUCAGCCCUAAUUUCGAUUUCUUUACUUCUAAGGGAAUCUAUGACAAUUUCAGAUGUUAACGUGUCUCUACCAUACUUAAUGGUGUUCUUAACUUCCUUAUAGGAAUUAGGGAUUGCAUUGAGCAAAAUUAUAGCCUUAUAAGUUUCGGACACAGUCUCAUUACAAUUAACUAUGUCUUGCACCAAUUUGUUAAACACGUCUAGAUUGUCAUCAAGAUCUUUUGAGAGAUCCAUUUUGAAAUUGAAAAAACGUUCAAGCAGGUAAAGUUUAUUAAGUGUAGACUUAAGCAAAUACAAGUCUUCUAAUUUCUUCCAAAGUUUUUUAGUGUUUUUUAAUUCACCCACUUUUCUUAAAACGACGUCAGACAAGUGUAAGAUAAUUGAGGUAUAAGCAAGCUCAUCGGCUUCUUCUUUUUGUUCUUGUAAAAAAUCAGUUGAAAAAUUGCCUUCAAUGGCUUUUGAAACCUUUUCUUGGACUAAAAUACCCUUCAUUUUUUGUUGCCAGAUAGCAAAGUCACCCUUUCCGUUAAAAAUUCUCAAAUCAAAACUGUGAGUUGUCAUCUUCACACAAUAGUCAAAAAAUGCACAAACCACAAUCAAACCACACAAAGUAGUCCUAGGGGUCACAGACAAUAUACACCGUUCUAGAUUCCCAGGGUUUCGUAAGACUCGCGGUCUUAGAUCAAGGGAAUGUUCGAAAGGGUAAAGUCACGGUAUUUCUAACGGAAUAAGUAAGCAGUGGAAAUAACAGUGCAGCAAAAAAUACGUCUAGCAGAUAACUAGUCCCACAGUAAUUUGAUCACUAAGAAUUACAAGACUGAUUUUAAACCCAAAAAAACAAAUACUCAAUCAAAAAGAUCAAUCAAGAGCACAUAACCCUAAUUCUAGCACAAGCAUUGGUUGCCAAGCAAUGAUAACUCCCAACCUAUUGUCACCCCAUACGGUGACGCGCUAAUGCUGAAAAAUUAACGGGUUAAUUCAAUUUACCAGAGCGAACGUGCCUGAGUCCGUAUAAUCGAGAGAGAUGCGAAUCUACUGCUUUAGAGCCACAAUCUUGGCCUAAAGUAAUUCAGUAGAUAUAUGUAGAUUCAACCGUCCAUCAACCGGGGGCAAAAUUGUCCAACUUUUUCUGUAUAACCUGAAACAGAAAAUAAACAGUGUCAGUGCGUUCAGGGGAUUAAAAUAAACAAACUGCCCGAAGGAAGUUCCCCCGGAAUCGCCACCACGCACCACCUACGAGGGAGCGCCUCAGCCUGCUGAUCCCGAAUAUGGGAUUGGUUUCGCCGGAAAAUGACUGGAUUGGCCGGAAAUAAGUGUUGCAGCCACAAUUUUUCCACCCAAACUCACGACUGUCACCGAUUUUUUGUUGAUUUUCAGGCCAGGAAAGCUAUUACUGCUCUGAUACCAGAUGUAGGGAUGAAUUCCACCGCCACCACGUGCAAACCGGGCUCAGUUUACCACAACAUCGACACCAAUUCCAUUGAGACAACUCCAACACCACCCUUGCCGUCCCUACUCCAAUUGCUAUCAAUUGGAGAAGGAGAAACACAUUAAUGUGCCCACAAUAGGUUAACCACUAAGGUCACAGUGAGGGAGAAGGGAGAGGCUGAGAGGGAGACUCACAAAGAGAAGAGAAAAUUUCACUCUAUGGAGGCUGAGACAAGAGAGGGAUUAUAUGCCAAGUAAAGUGUCCAAAUAGGUAAGUUACAAUUAGGGUCAAGUGGUGGACCAACAAACGAGGCUCGACUCAAUUAAGUGGGCUUCAACAAUAAUAAUAUAGCCUUCCAAGGAAUGGUGCGAGAACCGUGAACAACACUAUAAAAAUAGGCUGCUUCUAACGGUCCAUAAUAAAGUGGAUUGUGUUGUCUCGAUAAUUGUGUCGAUGUACUAAUCAAUCAUUUGGCCGAGGCCGAUUGAUAAUAAACAACCGAGGUUACAUCAUUGCCCGGGGAGGUCGUUUGACAACAAAAUUGCCUAAUAGGAACCUAAGAUGCCUAGCAUUGGAGAGAGUUGAAGAAUCUAUAGAAGUGCCAUGCAGACACCAAAUUCCUAGUUGUCAGGAUAUAUUUCUCUACUAAAGCAGACUUAGGCAUGGAAAGAGUUGUGGAUUUCGUCCAUACAAACGAGCUCUAACGAGAAUUGCUUUCAUGUUUUUAGCACAAGAUAAAGCUCUGAUACUACCAAAAGUCUUAUGAUAAAAUAUUGUUAUUAAAAUAGGAGUAAUGCUUUAUUGUAGCACAACUUUUGCACAACACGAUGGCAGCACUACAAUUGCACAGUAUAGUUAGGCCCAAUAAAUUGUGUAUAUUCUCACAAUCCAAUCAUUGAUUACAAAUUCAGAUACUCCGGCUCGUAAUAUUUCAUUCUUAUUGUUGGGAGUUAACUUUUUACUUGAUCAAAACACAGAUUUUCUUCAAAGAUCACUUGCUUUUUAUUACAAAAUAUAGCCAGGAGAGCAAUACAUUUUGAAGAAUACUUUUAAGAUUAUUACUUUGAUUAUAGUGUUCCAUUUUACUGAUUGCAAAUUCUAAGCUAGUGAAUUAUUCAUAUAUUUUCCUUUCGGGAAGCGAUAUAUAUAUGUUGCUAGUUUAUUUCUUUUCCUUUUCUUAGUUUAACUCUUUUCCCAAUUAACUUUGCAUGCUAACCUUUACCAGAUUUAACAUAACAUUUCAGAAAAACAAUAGCUUGUGGAGGUAGCAUCUAUGAGGCACCUGACAGUGCUGAAUCCCAAACAAGGCCUUCUAGGAAAGAUUCGACUCUUAUGGGCUUGAAGCAUGGAGUACUGUAAAAAACUGCUGUGUGCAAAGUGCGAACAGCUUGAGGGCAACAUUUGUAUGAACAUAAUCAAUCCUCCAAUUCCCCAGGCAGGAUUUCUUGUGAUAAAUUUUGUUUAUUGGGUAAUAGACUUGAAUUAGCAAUUAACGUGAUUGUGAUUUAGGAUUUCACAACUUAGUCUUCUGUGGCUCUACGAAUAAUGUCUCACUUGGCAAGGUUGUUAGCUCAAAGGUGGGGUUGCUUACACGUAUUAUUCUUGCAUUUCAUUUUUUUCAUCUCAAUGUUAUGCUCAUCACUAUCUGAAUUAGAGUCUAUUCUAGGAUUAAUGUUUUGGAAAAUUUCAUAAGUAAGAGAUUAAGUAUGGUAUAUUUCAAAAUUAAGAAAACAAUUUUCAAUCUUCAAAAAUCAUAUUUUUAUUAAAAUUUAUUAAUGAUUUAAUUAAUUAAUUAAUUAUUUUAUUAAUUAAAUAUAUUUAAGUCACAAAUCUGUACAAGUUGGUCACAAAUUAACGAUUUAAUAAGUCACUUAUUAUUUUUUGGUCACAAAUCAAAAAUUUAUGUCACAAAUUAUUUUAGGAUCACAAUUCAAAAAAUUUGUAGGUCACCAUUUGUUCAUUGAUCAGAAAUCAAAAAAUUAAUUAGUUACGAAUUAAUUUUUAGUCACAACUUUUUUUUUGGUCACAAAUAAAAAAUUUCAUAGGUCACAUAUUAUUUUUGGAUCAUGAAUAUAAAAUUUUAUAGGCCACAAAAUCAACUUUUAUUGGUCACGGCUUAUUGAUUCAUUGCAAAUUAUCAAAUUAAUUGGUCACGGUUAAUUUCAUCGGUACAAAUCAAGUCACAAUUUAUUUGUAUAUCACAGAUUUCCAAAUUAAUUUGUCACAACCCCAUUUCUUCCCACCGACGAUCACCGCUAGAACCAUCACUAUCACCAUUACUACUACCACCUCAAGGGAGCACAACCACCAACUGAGCCACCACCACCUCAUGACAACCUAUCAAUACUACAACACACCACCAUCAACACCAUCUCAGAUUCAAAGUUGCCUCCAAAAAAUUCCCGCCAAACAAAACCAUCACCACCACCACACAGAACACCAUCACCACCAUCGCAAGUUCACAGUCACCUCCACAAAACCCCACUCAAACUGCCAGAUCCACCACACAAACACCAUAACCACCACAGGCCGCCCACAGCACCGUUACCAUACUGAUGCAGGAGGAUCCGAGUCGAGUGAUGUUGAUUUGUCAGAUAGCACGAUGAUGGCGCUAAGAUACCAUGAGAUGGCAGAUCAGCGCAAAGAUGGAAAGUGAAACGCCAUUAUUUCCUUAAUUGGGGGAAUCUGACGCGUCUUUCGUAAUUUGGCCAUAACUUUGGCUACGGUUAUCGAAAUUGCUAUUAUGACCCCAAUCUAAAAAGCUCUCUUCAGCGUACACAUCGUGGCCACCAGCUAUGCUUGGUGGACGUCAAUUUUGAGCCCGAAAUCCACUGUUUUCCUUUCCCAAAUUCAAUUUUAAGUUAUUUUUUACUAUUUAUGGUAAUAUUUCGUUUCCUUUUUUUUUCGUAUGUUAGAAAACUCAAAUUGAGCCAAACUUUUGGCGACUUAUUUCUUUUACUUAAUAUUUUAUUUUGGUAUGAUUUCGAGAUUUUGCCAUUUUUGGUAAUUUUCCCAUAAUUUCGUAUUUCGCCGCUAUUUAACCCAACUUGUGGGUUAAUUUUGAUCAUUCUGCAUUAUUAAUAAUAUUGAGUUGAAUUCAGAUUAUUUUCUCUGGUUUUUGGGUGUUUUCUAUCAUUCUUUUCUUGCGAAUCAUCUGCUACAACAAGUCAAUAGGAUAAUUACCAUCCUACCCGACGUCACAUACAAACACCACCACAAAAUCAUCACCACCACCACAGCACCGCCAACAGUACCAUCACCACAUAAACACCACCACAGCAUCGGCGUCUUCACAGAACCUAGCAGCGCCCCCAUACCACUACAACUGUGCCACCAACACCAUCAUCUUCCUGAAACCACAGCAAAAGUGUGACGUCAACAGAGGUGAGACACCAACUCUGCCUAUAGAGACUCCAACUCCGCCCAUUCUUCACAGGUGAGAGAGACUAGAGCCACGAGAUGAAGAGAGGGACUAGGUUUGGGAGAAAUUAUUUGGGGAAGGAAGGGGGUUAGGGUUAGUUUAUAAAUUAAAUAAUUAAUAUAAAAAAAUCCCGAUUUUUGAAACAUUAAAGUUCCCAUAUGAUUUUAGAAUAUUGAAUACUUAAAGUAUGGUAUUGUGUAAUUUUCACUUAAUGUUUUGGCUCAGGAGUAAGAUUAACUGAGAGUGUGGCUUGAGUAAUUCCUAUUGAUGUUCUUUGGAGUAAUAAAAGUUUUAUUUUUGUUUGAACAAGUCUUUAUAAGAAAAAACGAAUUAAAGGACACUUUUUUUUUUCUCUAAUUUGGUGUAAGAUGGCUUUUUUCACCUAGCAUAUUAGUUCUCGAAAAUAUGCAAAUUAUUUAGCAUAAUUUUAUUCUCAUCCCCUUGAUGUAUGAACUAUGCUAUAUUUACAAAGGUGGGUUACAAAAUUGGUUGACAAAAUAACAUCUACACCAAUCAUUUCAAAAAUAGAUUUUUAAAUCAUUUCAAAUCAAUGGCUUGGUUUUUGCCAACACACUUUGUAAUCCAACUUUAUACAAGUAGUUUUAUUGUUGAUGAAUAUAUGAUAAUACACACAGAAAGUAAUUUAUUAUAUAGUCCAUAUCUCUCAUCCUUGGUACACAAAAAACAAAACCACUCUUUGGGAGUGAAAUUGUCUAGGGUAGAUAAUGGUGGGGUGGAUAUGUAAAAUAAUUUAAUUUUAUAAUAUUAUUGUUAAUAUUUAAAACUUGAAUUAUAACUUAAUUUUUGAACCAACAUAAAUUAAAUCGUAAUUUUGAAUUGGCGAGUUUAAAAUCAAGCUGAGCAAGUUUUUAAUUCUUUUUUAAUGUAAAUUUAUUUAUUUCUAAAAAUUUUAAAAUCACUAGGUCAACCCUGGUUAUACCUUGAUUCGACAUUGACUGUGCCCCUUUUUAAGAUCGUUAUUUAGCCCCCGUUUGAGGCACAUUAUUGAAAAAAUGAGAAUGAAAAAUAUAAUCGUUAUGGGCCCACACAAAAGAUAAAAAGUCAAAUAUGGUGGUUUGAUGUGAGGGAUAACGGUAAUAUUUUUCAUUUUAAUGAGGAAAUAAUGAGGCUCAAACAGGGCCUUAGUAGGGAUGGCAAUGGGGUGGAUUCGAGACACCCGCCUCAUUACCUAUUUAAGGAGAAGUGGGCCGGGAUGGGUCAGGUCGGAUCGGCGGGCGGGGUCUUUACCCAUUUAUAUACCCUUUUUUAAUUUUUUAAUAAUUCAUUUUAUUGCUCUCAUUCAAUAAAGUGAGAUAAUAUUAUAGUGAUUAAAAUUUUUAAUUAAUUAAUUUAUUUGAAAGCUAAAGUAUUCAAUAUAUUUGAUAAACUAAGGUUUUUAUUAUUUAUUAUAUUCCUUAGAUAAUUUUAAUUACCAUUUUCUAUUAGAAUUAAUGAAAUUUUGUGAAAUUUUCCAUUUAAAGUAUUGAAUUCUAAAAAAAAAGGGCAGGUGUAACACAUACUUGCCCUGAAUACUCGAUUAACUGGGUAAUCCAUGCCUCAUUUGGAGUGAGAUCCUGCGGGUAUCGGGUUUGGUGGUUUUUUUUGCUAUCCCUAUCGUUCAGUGGGUUUUUAAAAUAUUUUUACACAUUAGCAUUUAAACAAAGAAAAGUACUACAUAGAAAAAGUAGUGCUUUUAUCGAUUUGAUUUGACAGUGGGCGCACGGCUAUCUAAAUUGAUACUAAGUAGUAGACCCCCAUUUAGGUGGUAGUGCUUGUUUGUACCAGUUUACGUGGUGGUGGAUCCAAAGUCACUGAUACUUAGACUAGUACUAAGCACCACUUAUGAAUAAUGCAACAACGAAAUCAUUACAACCUAAAUUUGUAUUAUACCACUUCUACUAGAUAGCAUUACUCGUAAAUACAAAUCACUUAGGAGUGGGUAGGAUAGGGUCAGGUCAGGUCACGUGGGGUUAGGGUUGGGAAAGAAAAGAAAAGUUGGAUGAAAAAUUGAAGGUUUAAAUUUUUUUUCAUAAUGUUACAGAAAAUAAUCUUUUAUUAAGAACAUAGGUCAAUUACAUGGAAUUAUCAUUAUGUUAUGACUAAAUUUUACUAAGAAUAACGAGUUUGUAUCUAUUUAGCUUCACUGUGACAUUAAAUGGAACUAAUGUGGUAUUAAAUAAGAGAUACAAUUAAACGAGUCACUUAAUUAUAUAUUAUAUUGAAUCUAUCACUUAACAUCGCUUAGAUCGAUGUUUUAGUACUAGUGGUGCUGAUAGCAAUAUUCAAGUAAAAAAUGUUAAAAGGGGGACUAUACAGUCACUUCUCGUUGUAUCUCAUACAGUUGAUGAUCAGUUUAUAGUCAUGCUCUAGUCUAAUGUGGUCUACCAGCCCAAAAGAAAGGCAAAGUAUUUGUGUCAACAAAGGUUGUUGAUGCGUGACGAUUUCCAACUAACAUUACUUUUGAUGUUCAAGAUCCGAAAUUAUGUUCAUGAUUAAACAACCAACAAAUCAAAAGUUGUGAUAAGAUAGUUUCUACUUAGUUCUAAAAUGAAGUCAUGUGUUGCUCUAGCAUGAUGUCAGCAUCGAUCAAUAAGAGCUAAAAGUUUCUGACAAUGAUGCAAGUUCCAAGUAAUGUAAAAUCAAUCAUUGGUUUGAUAAUGACAAUAACUACUCGAACUUACAUAAAUAUAACAAAUCGUUCGUUAAUUCAAUCAUGCAUUUAGCAUGAUGUCAGCAUCAAUCAAUAAGAGCUAAAAGUUUCUCACAAUGACGCAAGUUCCAAGUAAUGUAAAAUCAAUCAUUGGUUUGAUAAUGACAAUAACUACUAGAACUUACAUAAAUACGACAAAUCGUUCAUUAAUUCGAUUAUGCAUUUCUUACAAUUUCAAUAACUUACAUAAAUAUGACAAAUCAUUCAUUAAUUUGAUCAUGCAAGAUUUGACAAUGAUGCUUGCUCUUCAGUCAAAGAAUUAUAAAACAUCUAAGCAAAACAUAUAUUAUUGAUAUUGCAUAUUUUAUUGAAAAAUAAUUCUAUUUUAUUUCCGUAUAUCAGACCAAAUAGUGUAGAUAAGACUAGAUUUUCAUCCUAAAUAGACAAAGAAUUAUCAUUUCAUAUUUUUAUAUCUCAAGAAUCUAUAUAUCUAACUCUCGAUAGGAGAAGGAAAUAAAAAUAUAAUAUCAACACACUGGCACAAUGUGCAUAUAUACAAAAAAAAAAAAAGGAAAAAAAAGGAAAUUAUCUGAAUUGCAGAUGUCAAUUUUAAUCUACCAUAAUGGUUAUUCAGACUAUUACCACCCAAAUCUUUGACUCUUACUACUUUCAUUACAAAUUUUGAUUUGGAGAAGAAACCCAUAAAUUUACACAUACAGAUUCAUGAAUAUAUCUGUGUGUUUUUUUAGUUUGGUGAGGUAAAUAAAUCCCAAACUUAGACACAUAGGAGACAAAGACCACAUUUAAGGAUUGAGUUCCACCUCAAUCAAAACACACCUGUAUUAUGAUUCAUGAAUAUAUCUGUGUGUGUUUUAGUUAGGUGAGGUAAAUAAAUCCAAAACUUAGACACAUAGGAGACAAAGACCACAUUUAAGGAUUGACUUCCACCUCAACCAAAACACACCUGUAUAGAGUGAAAUUAGUUUGUAUUCUGAGAAUCCAAUUCUCUAUUAUGAAUUUAUAUAUUGGUUGAAUCCAGUUCAGGCGUAUUGCAUUUCACCUCUGCAAAGUGGUUUUUUCUUUUUCUUGGUAAGUUUCUUUCCCUGCUUGUUUAACGUGUAGGUAUUCAAACUUUUCCCUGAAAUUUCCUGCUUUUUUUUCUACAUUUUUUUUGGGGAGUAUUUAUUUGAUGAAAAGUACUAGAAUCCUUUGCGAAAUCAUAAAUUAGAGGACCUGGCGAUGGUGUUUAGAACGGAAAAAAGCUUGAGUUCUGGUUCUUGUUUUUGUUUUUGUUUUUCCUGGUAUAAAUUCAUGGUUUAAUCAGAAAAAAAGUAGUUUUGAUUUUAUUUUCCAUUUAAUUGUUUGGAAUUCUUGAGUGAAUAUUGCACUGGUGUUUGUUUAUAUCUAGGAUGUAUAAUCUGCAUCAUAUAUCUAUGGUUAAAGUUCUUAAAUUUAUGGCAUAAUUUUAAAGAUUUUACUUUGAUGUGAAAUAGAGGGUUUCUUGGCAUAUUUUCAAAAUUGGACUUGUGGAAAAUGUUUCUCAUAAGGAUUCUUUAUUGAAAAUUUUAAUUUGAGAUUUACUCGUUCGGUCAAAAAGGCAUUGUAUCUACUGGUUAUGGAAAUUGAAGAGAUUUAAAUAAAUUUUUCAUUUUCUUAAAUUGCUCCUAUUACAUAAUCAUACCUCAUUCUUUCUUUUUUCUUUUUUCCUUAUGUUUUCUAAUAAAACUGGAUUUGAUUCCCCAGAAUUAAAUGUUCUGGUAGAAGGAAUUCAAGGCUAGGGAGAAAGGAUAAAUACUAGUAAAAAGUUUAGAUCAUUUUUAGUUUGUCGGAUCAACUGUUGUUUUGCAUAACAAAUGUCAGUUAUUUUUAUCAAUUGUUGUGUGGUAUUUAUAAUUCUCUGACUCCAAUUCACAUUUCUACUCAUUGUUUAUUAUACGCAUUAAAAGAAGCACAUUCAUUUUUAUUGGCAAACUCACAGUGGAAAAGUCGUGCUCCCAAAGUAUAGGGUUUUCGUUUGAUCUACAUCGGAUUUAGGAAUAUAUGUCGUCAACUGCAAGUAUAUGCUUGCUAGGAUUUUGCUGGAUAUGUUACAUAUGCAUACUGCAUGAUCGUUUGCUUCAAGUGUGACAUUUCUUAGUGCCCUUCAAUGGUCAAGAAUCUUACAAUACAUUUCAGUUGUAGGAAUAAUUUUAAAUUUAUAGAUUAGUCCUUUGGCUCGUGUAUUUUUAUGCAUAUUCUUAGGAGUUAUCUCUUUAUUUGUCCAAAAUAUAGAUCUUUUUCAAAGGCCACUUGUUUUCUUAUUUGCUUUUCUUUACAAAAUGCCAGGAGAGCAUUGAUUUGAAGAAUACUUUAUGAAUAUUAGUAUGAUUACAGUGUUCCAUUUUAUUGACUGUGUACUCUAAUUCCUAUAUAUUCUCCAUAUAUUUUCCUUUUAGCCAGCGAUACAUAUACUUUGCCAGUUUAUUUCUUUUCCUUUUCUUGCACACUUGUUACUUUCAAUUUUUAGUUAUUUAAUAAUGAGUUUCCCAGAUUUAAUUUCAAUCAUGUUUAGUAUAACACUUUGUAAUUGAAUUUUUUUGACAUUCUUGAUAUCUAAACAUUCUAAUUAUUUUGCCAAUUGUUAUUGUAGCGUCAAGUUUGUCUCUACAUUAUAAAAAUGCUGCAAUAGCUCACUUCGUAAUACUAAUUGUCUUAAGUAUACUCUUUUCCCAAUUAACUUUGCAUGCUAACAUUUACAGGAAUUCAACAAAUCGCCAUUUCGUAAAAAUAAUGGCUCGUAGAGGUUGCACCAAUGAAGGCGUCAUUGUACCCAACAGUUCAACUCGUACGGGCAUGAAUCACGGAGUGCUGUCAAACACUGUUGUACGUGAUCUGCUUGAGUGCCCCAUUUGUAUGAACAUAAUGUAUCCUCCAAUUCACCAGGUACAAUAUCUUGUAAGUGAUAAUUUUUGUUUCUUGGGUACUUCUAACUUGCAUAAAGCAAUUAAAGUGAUUGUGAUUUAGGGUUUCAAGACAUACUCUUUUAUGGCUCUUCCUUGUUCUGAAUAUUCCGUGUCACCUUCAUUAGAAUCAUUAUGUUGCAAGUCUUGUUAUCUUUUCCAUUCACAAGAUAUCUUGUUAAUAAAUUUCCCAGCCUAGAAGAUCACUGUAUAACUUACCAUUCAUUUCUCCGUAUGUAUUCUUGAAAAACCCUCUUGAUUAUCAGUUUAGGUUACUUUUACUUCUAAAGCUUCUACAUAUUCAUAUUUUGAUCAUUUUAAUAGCAUUUCUUUUCAGCCUUAACCGCCAUAUGAACUUCUUGUUAAAUGUGGCAUUAAUUUGUAAUCUUAGGAAAUAAAUAAGGUUACAUGCACUUGAAUAAAAUGUAUCAGGAAAAUACAUGAUGCACUUGAAGAAAAUGUAUCAGGAAAAUACAUGAUGCAAAUUCAUGAAUUAUUAGGUGUCCAUUUAUAUUCCCAUGUCUCUAGAGUUAUCCAUGUGGUCCUAUAAAUAGAGGUCAUUCUUGUAGUCUCAUAGUAAGAAAAAAAAAAAGAAGAAAACAUUAUUGAGUGUGCUGUAGCAACUCAAAAACUAUCAAUAAAAAUUCAAGUUUUUCUUCAACACUUCGUUUCCGCACUAACAAAUUUGGUAUCAGAGCCAUAACUUGUGAUUGCAUUUUUUCAUGGCUUUCAUACAAACAGCUUCGUUGUUUACAUAUUCUUCCAGUCAAGUCCCAAUCUUCGAAGGCGAGCAUUAUGAAUACUGGAGCAUCCAAAUGCGAACUUUCUUCAUCUCCUUAGAUCUUUGGGAUUUCAUUGACGAUGAGGAGUACGAAGAACCAUCCGAAGACAAUGAAGAUUACGAAAAAUUGCAAAAAGAAUUUAAAAGAAAAGAUGCAAUGGCUCUCCGCUAUAUUCAACAAGGAGUCGGGAAAUCAAUUUUCCCUCGUAUCUUUGGUGUUAAAAAAGCCAAAGAUGCUUGGGAAAUAUUGAUGCAAGAAUUUCAAGGAACGGAGAAAACGAUCGCCUUGAAACUUCAAUCCUUUUGGAGAGACUUUGAUAAUCUCCAAAUGGAAGAACGAGAAUCGGUUCGUGUUUUUUCUUCACGAGUAGCCGAGACAGUAAAUCAAAUCAAAAGCUGUGGUGACGCAAUUACAGAUAAAAGAGUCGUGGAGAAAAUGUUAAGAUGCCUUCCUCCAAAGUUUGACCAUGUUGCAGCCGCAAUUGAAGAAUCGAAAGACUUGUCCAAAAUGACCAUUUAUGAGUUAACCGGGUCACUUCUUGCCCUCAAAGGGAUUGUUGGUUUCAAAAUAAAGAGAUGACAGAAAGAAAAAGUGCAGCAAACUUUUCUCAAGAGAAUGAAAAGGAAAUUCUGUUUUAUUCUCAAAAUUAUGAAAAUGGAGCUCAAAGCCCUUGGUAUUUGGAUAGCGGUUGUAGCAAUCACAUGACGGGGAAUCGCGACAUCUUUGUGGACCUUAAUCCAAAUAUUACUUCACAAGUAAUUCUUGGCAAUGGAACAUCUAGAGAUGCGGUAGGAAAAGGCACCAUUGCUGUCCAAAUUAAAGAAGGUAACAAGAAACUCAUCACAGAUGUUCUUUAUGUUCCCAAUCUUUCUCAUAAUCUCCUAAGUGUUGGACAACUUAUUCAAAGUGACUUCUCUGUCCACUUUGAUGAUGGUGCAUGUAAAGUUUUUGACAAAAAGAAAAAUAUUUGUGUGGCAAAUAUUGAAAUGAAGAACAAGACAUUUCCUCUUAUGAUGCCACUAAAUGAGAAUUGUGCACUCAAGGCACGAGACGAAGAUUUGGCGUAUUUGUGGCAUUUACGAUAGGGUCAUCUUCAUGAAAGAGGCCUUCGUUUACUCCAAAUGAAAAACAUGGUGACGGGACUUCCUAACAUCCAACACAUAGACAAAAUGUGCGAAGGAUGCGUCUAUGGGAAAUUGCACAAGUUGUCGUUUCCAAAAACUUCAUGGAGAACGAAAGCACCACUUGAGCUUGUGCACUCGGAUAUUUGUGGGCCAAUGCAAACUCCCACUUUUGGAAACAAGAGAUAUUUUAUUCUCUUUGUUGAUGACUUCACAAGAAUGAUAUGGGUUUUCUUCCUCAGUCAAAAAUCUGAGGCAUAUUCCACAUUUCUUUAAUUCAAAGCUCAAGCAGAAAGGCAAAGUGGUUUUUUGAUAAAAACUUUAAGGACCGAUCGUGAAGGUGAAUAUCUCUAUAAUCCUUUCAUGGAAUAUUGCAGAAAAAAUGGCAUCAAAAGACAAUUAACUGUGAGUCGAACUCCGCAACAAAACGGCGUGGCCGAAAGAAAAAAUCGCACAAUUGUUGAAAUGGCAAGAAGCAUGCUAAAGGGCAAAGGACUUCCAAAUCUGUAUUGGGCAGAAGCUGUAAAUACGGCAGUAUACAUUCUCAAUCGGUCUCCAACAAAGGCUGUACGGAAUAAAACUCCAUACGAAGCUUGGAACAAAAAGAAGCCAAUGGUUGAUCACUUCAAAAUAUUUGGCAGCAUUGCUUAUGCUCUUAUCCCUUCUCAAAAUCGGGAGAAAUUUGACGAGAAAGGACAAAAACUUGUCUUUGUUGGAUAUAGUGAUGAAUCUAAAGGAUAUCGGUUAUUAGAUCCAACUACAAACAAAAUUACAGUUUCACGAGACGUUGUUUUUGAUGAAGCUGCAUCUUGGGAUUGGAAAGGGAAAGAAGUUGUGGACCAGACACCAUACCAUUUUGUUGAUCCAUUAACAUUUCAAGCAGGUCCGUCACAAGUUGGAAAUUUAGAGCAUAAUCCAAACCCUACUCCAAGAAGUGAGGAAGAAUCUGAUCCAGAAAGCCCUCCAAGAAAGACACGUUCACUACAAGACAUAUAUGAGUCAUGUGAACUUGGGUUGUUCUCUAGUGAACCACAAUCAUUUGAAGAAGCCUCAAAAGAAGUAUGUUGGACAAAAGUCAUGAAUGAAGAAAUGUCCACAAUUGAGAAAAACAAAACUUGGAAGCUUGUUGCCUUGCCAGAAGGGAAGAAAAUCAUUGGACUCAAGUGGGUCUAUAAAAUAAAAUACAAUGAAGAUGGGUCGAUCCAAAAGCACAAAGCACGUCUUGUUGCAAAAGGGUAUUCUCAACAGCCCGAAAUUGAUUACACUGAAACAUAUGCUCCGGUUGCAAUAAUGGAGACGAUUCGUACUGUUUUGGCACUGGCAGCUCAAUUGGAGGUAUGUGUUUAUCAACUUGAUGUAAAAUCGGCAUUCUUAAAUGGUGAAAUUCAAGAAGAAGUUUAUGUCGAGCAACCCGAAGGAUUUGAAAUCAAAGGACAAGAAGGAAAAGUCUAUCGUUUAUACAAGGCACUUUAUGGUUUAAAGCAAGCGUCGCGAGCAUGGAAUAGCAAAAUCAAUAGCUAUUUCAUCCAAAAUGGAUUCAAUCGAAGCACGAGUGAAUCAUCUCUAUAUGUCAAUAAUCUUGGAAGAGACUUUCUUGUAGUAUGUCUUUAUGUGGAUGAUCUUCUAUACUUUGGUACAAGUAAAAGCAUGGUGGAAGAAUUCAAGAAAAAGAUGAUGAGAGACUUUGAGAUGAGUGACUUGGGUCAAAUGAAAUACUUUCUUGGCAUCCAAGUCAAACAAAGCCCGGGAAGAAUUUUUUUAUCUCAAGAGAAGUAUAUUGAUGAUCUUCUAGAAAAAUUCAGCAUGAACCAAUGCAAGCUAGUCUCUACUCCAAUGGGGCCGAAUGAAAAAUUCCAAGUCAAUGAUGAUGCUGAAAAAGUAGAUGCUACACUCUACCGAAAGUUAAUUGGUUCACUCAUCUACCUCAACACAAGGCCGGAUAUCACUCAAUCAGUGAGUUUACUUUCCAGGUUCAUGAAUGAACCAAGCAAGAAUCACUUUACGGCGGCAAAAAGAAUUUUGAGAUACCUUAAAGGUACAAAAAAUCAAGGCAUUGAGUUCAAAAAGGAAAAUAACUUCAACCUUGUUGGCUACACUGACAGUGAUUGGGCAGGCUCACUUGUUGACCGCAAAAGUACAUCGGGCUACAUCUUUUGUCUUGGAACAAAUAUUAUUUCAUGGAGUUCGAGGAAGCAAAGGUCUAUAGCACUAUCUUCUGCAGAAGCGGAAUACAUUGCAGCUGCGGAUGCCGCUUGUGAAGCAGUUUGGCUUAGAAGAAUUCUAAAAGACUUGAUGUUUGAACAACAAGAGCCAACAACAAUACAUUGCGACAAUAUGUCAGCAAUUGCUAUGACAAAAAAUCCAGUUUUUCAUGCCAGAUCGAAGCAUAUUGAACUACGUCAUCACUUCAUUCGAGAUUUGGUAAGUCGAGAAGAAAUUUGCAUGGAAUUUAUCAACACAAAUGAUCAACCAGCAGACAUUUUAACAAAGGCAGUCACAUUUGACAAGUUCGACAAGAUCAAGGAAAAACUCAAGAUUACAAAUUAAGAGGGGGUGUUAAAUGUGGCAUUAAUUUGUAAUUUUAGGAAAUAAAUAAGGUUACAUGCACUUGAAGAAAAUGUAUCAGAAAAAUACAUGAUGCACUUGAAGAAAAUAUAUCAGGAAAAUACAUAAUGCACUUGAAGAAAAUGUAUCAGGAAAAUACAUGAUGCAAAUUCAUGAAUUAUUAGGUGUCCAUUUAUAUUUCCAUGUCUCUAGAGUUAUCCAUGUGGUUCUAUAAAUCGAGGUCAUUCUUGUAGUCUCAUAGUAAGAAAAAAAAAAAAGAAAACAUUAUUGAGUGUGCUGUAGCAACUCAAAAACUAUCAAUAAAAAUUCAAGUUUUUCUUCAACACUUCGUUUCCGCACUAACACUUCUAGUUCCACUAGCAUCGUCAUUAUGCUGUCAGAUAAAUUAUCGAUGUGGUUGAAUAAAUAUUCUUUGGCAUAUUGUAGUGGAUACAGAUUCUAUGUAGAAACUUAUAUUCUAUUAUUAACGGUUUUGCCUCAGGCAUGAGAUAUAAUCUGACAGUAUGGAUCCAGUUAUUCCAACUCUGUUCCUUAAUGUAACAAAACUUUGAUGUUUGUUUGAACAAGUUUUCCACAAAAUUUAGUUCUUAGAAAUAUGAAAAUUAUUUAGCAUCAUAUUAUUCUCAUCCCCUUGAUGCAUAAACGAUAAUAUGAAUAUAUAUGGUCCCUAUCUGUCAGUCCUUGGUGCAGAAAAAUAAAAUCACUCUUUUCAAAGCCCAUAUCAUUGCUAAAGUCGCACUAUCAUUUUCACAUGUUCAGUGUUCAAAUGGCCACACUUUGUGCUCUAAGUGCAAGUCCAAAGUGCGUUCUUGCCCAAUUUGCCGUCAAGAACUUGGGAACAUAAGAUGCCUCGCGUUGGAGAGAGUUGCACAAUCUCUAGAAGUGCCGUGCAGAUACGAGUCUCUCGGUUGUCAUGAUAUAUUUCCAUACAAAAGCAGGUUUAGGCAUGAAAAGAGUUGCCAAUUUCGCCCAUACAAUUGCCCUUAUGCUGGAGUUGAAUGCCCUAUCGGUGGUAAUAUCCUAUUUCUCGUGCAACAUCUAAAGAAUUAUCAUCAGGUUGAUAUGCAUGAUGGGAGUACUUUUAACCACCGGUACGUCAUGACCGAUGCUCAAGGUGUUGAAAAUGCUACAUGGAUGUUGACUGUAAGUACUCUCUAUCAUUAGCAUAAUUUCGAAUUUUUCCGUGGUUGAAUAAAAUUUCGAAUUUUAAGAUUUGUCGUUGUUGCUUCAAAACGUAAAGAACCACAAAGGUGGAAGUUGCUUAGUUGCCAACUUAACAGCUUUAUCAGUCUUCUUAAUACCAUACAUUGACUUUCAUCAAGGGCCAUUUCACUGAAUACGGUAAACAAUGUAAAUUCCAAGAAUCAAGUUUUUGUUUGGUUUUCAGAACACAUCCAUGUAGUGUUUGUUGUUUAUUUCUAUCAUAUUUUUACCAGGAAAAAAAAAAAGUUUCUUCUCCUGCUUUCACUAGUGCCAUUGCUGCCAUAGCGAAAUGCUGGAAGAAAUGUACCAUGCACUCCUCUUUCAUUGUACGUGUCAUGUUUCUCAGUUUCUUUAUUUAUUACUAUAUCAUACAACAUAAUCCUGUCUCAUUUUGAACUCUACAUCAUCAUUUUCUCCAUGGUAAAUCUUAUCAGGAGUAGUUUUUAUUAAAACAAAUCAUUAUCUUUGUUCAUCUAGGAGCAUGUUAUUAAGAGAUAUAAUCUCAUAUCGAAUAAAGAUGAAAACAUAGACUAAUUUAUAAGGUCUUAGAUUACUUCUCUCAACAAAGUUCGACAUUUUAAGAUGGAACUCCAAACCUUAACAUGAUAUCAGGCCCAUUAAACUCUAACGAGUGAUUCGAUCCACCUUUAAAUGAUAGAAAGUUGACAUGGCAAGGAGUCCCAAGGAGCAUUCGUGAUAGUCGUGAUACAGUUCGAGAAAGCUUGGAUGGAUUAAUCAUUCAUAGAAACAUGGCACUCUUUUUCUCCAGAGAUAAUAGCCAGGAGCUCAAGCUAAAUGUGACUGGGCGUAUAUGGGAAAUACAGUCGUAAAUCAGACUUAUUUCGUGAAUCACGAUUGUGGGGUACUUUAUUUUUUGCCUUUCUGGGCAGAAACUCUAUUAGAAUAGUGUAUGGCAAUUUUCCCAUGAUCAGGGAGGAUAUUUUUUAAUUUGUCUGUAAAUGAACUGAAUAAAAGGUGUUGCCUGUGGGCUACUAAAAAGUUUGAACUCUAUGGACUUAUUGACUUAAAAGGUUUUCUGCAGAAUUUGGACAAUUUAUGAGCUUUUGCUAUUGUAAAAAGCUAUACUUUUUGCCCUACCCCAAGACCAAUGUUCAAUACAGGGUACUCAACUUGGCUCGACAAUAUAAUGUUGUUCUUCUUAACAAUGUCUAGUAUUGUCAAUCUACUCUUUGGCAAAAAGUCUUUGAGAACAAGGCCGUCCGAUCCCGUGUUCUAUAAUUUUUCUUUAUUCCUUUUUGCAUAUAAAGGGCUCUGAAGAAGCCUGCAGAUUGUUGAUUGGGUUUUUUAUUGAUCCCCAAAGGGCAGGUUCAAAACUUAAUUUAUUUUUGUAGAGUUGAAAAUGUAGUGUAUAAAUGAUUAUUACAACUACAAUACGAAAACAUAAACUCUCAAAGUGAAAAAAAUCAAACCAAUUGACCAAAAGCUUAUUCAACACUACCAAUGGAGUGUUCUAUGAUGUUGAGCUCAGAUUUGUACCAUACAAAAUCAUACACCGUCGUCCACGGGAAUUGUAAUGGACAUACCGAGAAAAGGAUCCGCCGGAAGCCACCAAGAAUUUUGUCGGAGAUAUGAACUUCUCCCACUUAGUUACCUCUCGAUACUCUCUCUUUUAUUACGCCAAGUCCAAAUGAAAAUAAGUGAAGGAGUCUUGUAAUUAUAAAGUGAAAACCAUUCAAAAUCAAAUUCAAAUAUUGUACUAUGAGCAAGAGUGAAUGUAACAUGACUAGAAAAUAAGAAUUGACCACAAGACUAAAUCUAUCCAUUGAAUUUAAUCUAUGGUCCACAAUAUUCCUAAACUAGCACAAUCAUUUUCAAUCUCUCUAGACCAAUUAACUUGUGACAUGUGGAUGGAACGAUCCACCUCACAAUUUUUAUUUACAUAUGCUGACAUGUGUUCAAAAUAUUCAACAUUUUUGUCACCUAAAGGAAAGCAUAGCAUUAUUUGUCCGUCUUCACAAUUUAUUGAUGCAGGAGGAUUCGAGUCAAGUGAUGCUGAUUUAUCAAAUUGUACGAUGAUGGCGUUGAGAUAUCAUGAGAUGGCAGAUCGGCGCAAAGAUGGAAAGUAAAUUACCAUUAUUUUCUUAAUUGGGAGAUUUUGACGCGUCUUUGGUAAUUUGGCCAUAACUUUGGCUACGGUUAUCGGAAUCGCUAUUAUGACCCCAAUUCGAAAAGCUUUCUUCGGCGCGCACGUCGUGGCCACCCAGCUUUGCUUGGUGGACAUUAAUUUCAAGCCCAAAAUCCACUGUUUUCCCUUCCAAAAUUCAAUUUUAAGUUAUUUUUUACUAUUUAUGGUAAUAUUUAGUUUCCUUUUUUAUAUGUUAGAGAACUCGAAUUAAGCCAAAUUUUUGGCAACUUACUUCUUUUACUUAAUAUUUUAUUUUGGUAUAAUUUUGGGAUUUUGCCAUUUUUGGUAAUUUUCCAAUAAUUUCGUAUUUCGCAGCUAUUUAACCCGGCUUGUGGGUUAGUUUUCGGCAUUCUGCAUUAUUAAUAAUAUUGAGUUGAAUUGAGAGUAUUUUCUCUAUUUUUUGGGCGUUUUCUAUCGUUCUUUUCUUGCGAAUCAUCUGCUACAACAAGCCAAUAGGAUAAUCACUAUCCUACCCUGCGUCAUUUAUUUAUAAAGGAAAAAUCAUAUCCAACCGGAAAAAAAAUACAAAUAAAUAAAAAACGAAAAAAAGAAUUGAUUGCUUCUAGAUCAGUUUCUUGCUUUGCUCACAAAACUAAUAGUUCAAUUUUCACAAUUUCAAUGAGAACAGAUUUCGUUUGAUUUCUUAAAAACUUCGACCAUGGCUUCAUCCACUACCACCCCUUACCUAGAACGUUGUAUUCCAUUUUUUUUUCCUGUUUAAUUCUUUCACCAAAUUUUUUGAACUUUCUUUCCACAACUAUGAGUUCACACAUUUGUCACAGCCCAUAAUCAUUCAUUGAAUAUAAUCCGAAAUCGACCUUCAACACCAACCUUUAAAUUUGCCUAGUUGUACCUAUUCUUUACCGGUCAUUAUUACACAUUAGCAUUUAAACAAAGAAAAUGUUAUGUAUUAAAAGUAGUGUUUAGUAUCAGAUUAGUUGAUCCAGUAUCAAAUUAUAUGGGAUCCAUUAUCACCUAAAUUGGGACUAAGCACCACUUAAAAAUAAGGGAUAGUUUCAUAAAUACCCAUAAAAUUAGGGACAUUUAGAAAAAUCAUGCUAAUUGUUAUGUUGAAGUAAAAAAUACUGUCUAUUUUUUUCCCCAACAAACGCCAGAUUUCAUCUUCUUAACCAAUUAUCCCACCCUUCAUCCUACCAUCUGACACACAACCAGAACCUUACCCGCCCCAAGCCACGUAAUUCUAUUGACAGACUUUUUAUAUUGUGUACUUGUUUGAAUUGAUAAUAAUUCAUUUUUCAUUCUACUAAUUAUUUUUAGUUAUUAUAUAUUGUUAUUCAGAUUUGCUAACUUCGUUAAAAUUUAGAAAUAGCAACAAUUCUAUAAGAAUUUGAUUAAAAAUAAAAAAAAUUGAUAAAAACUAAAAAAAUGACAAAUACUAAAAAUAGUGAUAGAAAUUUAAAACAGUGAUGGACGCGUAAAAAAAUAAAUUCUAUAAAAUAAAAAAAGUGAUACACUCAAAAUAUUCUACAAAUUCAAAAAAGUGAAACACUCAAAAAGUGACAGAUGCUUAAAAAAUAAAUUCUACAAAUUCAAAAAAGUGACAAUCAAAAAGUGACAGAAUUUCAAAAAAAGUGAUAUAGACAAAAAAGUGACAGAUGUUAAAAAAAUAAAUUCUACAAAUAUGAAAAAGUGACAGCAAUUCAAAAAAGUGACAGAAUUUCAAAAGGAGUGAUUGACGUUCAAAAAAAUAAAUCCUACAAAUUCAAAAACGCGACACUAAAAAAGUGACAGCAAUUCAAAAAUUGACACACUCAAAAAAAUUCUACAAAUUCAAAAAAAUGACACAUUUAAAAAGUGACAGAAUUUAAAAAAAAAAAGUGACAAACGCUCAAAAAAAAUUCUACAAAUAAAAAAAAUGAUACACACAAAAAUGUGACAGACGAUAAAAAAAGUAAAUUCUACAAAUUCUAAAAAGUGAAAGAAAUUCAAAAAAUGACGCACUCAAAAAGUGACAUAAUUUCAAAAAGUGUAACAUAUGUUUGAAAAAAAAUUCUACAAAUUCGAAAAAAUGACAGCAAUUCAAAAAAUUGAUAGACACUCAAAAAAAUUCUACAAAUUUAAGAAAAUGACAAGUUCAAAAAAGUGAUAGAUGCUCAAAAAAAUAAAUUCUACAAAUUUAAAAAAAGUGACAAAAUUUCAGAAAAAGUGACAGAUGCUUAAAAAAUAAAUUUUACAAAUUCAAAAAAAGUGAUAGAUGUUCAAAAAAAUAAAUUCUACAAAUUUGAAAAAGUGACGCACUCAAAAAAUGUGAUAGCAACUCAAAAAAGCGACACUCAAAAAGUUCUACAAAUUCAAAAAGGUGACACACUCGAAAAAGUGACAAAAAUUUAAAAAAAAGUGAUAAAUGUUACUUUUAAAAAAGUGACACAUUUUUUUUUUAUAAAAAAGUGACAUGUGUCACUUUUUUAAUAAAUGUGACAUUGUUUAAUACGACAUAUGAUGUCACUUUUAUUAUUAUUUUUUAAAAAAAUGAUGCUUGUCACUAAAAAUGUGACAAAAAUAAAAAUGAUGACUGGAAAAAGUGACAAAUAUUAAAAAAAUGAUAAAAAUUAAAAAAAGUGACGGAAGUUUAAAAAAGUGACGAAUUCAAAAAAAGAAAGUAACACAAGUUCAAAAAAGUUACACCGAUUAAAAAAAGAGAUACACACUUUUUUGACAACAUUAAAAAAGUGACAAUGCAUUCCACCUCCUCCUCCUUCAACACAUACACAAUGACUGUAAACUUUGUGUGUGGAGUGAUAGUCCUAGGAUUAGACAAAAGCCAUUCUCCUCUGGUUAUCUACCUUUUGAGAGCCUCCCAAGUAUCAACAACAACCCCACAUUGUCCCCAACCAUUGUCUUGUCCAAAGUCUUUUGAAACAUCUCAACAACAGUCACAGACUCACAAUAGUAUUCCUGAUCUCUCUUAACUUGACAAUAUCUUCUUCUUUUUUUCUAUUAAAAAGAUUUGCAUCUAUCGAAAUCUCUCAAAUGUUGGCAGGGGUUAAUAGGAAAGCAACAAUUUUCUUCAAAAGAUACUAAAACUCAAAAUCCUGAUUGUUUACAAGCUGGUACACAGCAACAAAAGGAGCAAUAAUUAUUUAUUACAUGCCAUAUUAAACUAACAUAUCACAAGGAAAUAGAAAGAUGCAUGUUCAACCAACCAAGAGCCCUUGAAUCUAAUAGGAAGAAAAACUAGGGGUUUACAAUCAGAUGCUUUUUCGGGUGAAGCGUAAUCGAGAGGUGAGUAAAAGAGGAUGGCGAUCAUGGCUCCAAGAAGAAUGUCGUAUUGCACCACCUUUGCCAGCUUCAUAACCAGCGGCUCUCCCUUCAAUGUGCCCAUCUUCAAAUUCUUCCAUUUUGCUCUCAGAAUCUGACUGUAUCUACAAUUUCCUAAAUCCUAAUCUUCCAACUCUAGGGCUGAAAUGAAAAGAAGAUAAUGAAGCCGAACGCAUACGAAGGGAAGAAGAAGAAGAAAUCGAGGGAAAGUAGAUUGGAAACGAAAAUUAAAAGUCGGAAUCUAUCACCUUGCUGGAGAAGGAUGCCGACAAUUUCUACUGAAUGAUGAGUCUGAAUAUGGCGGGUUAGUUUUGGGCUUGUUAACUGGCUUGUGAUUUUGGGACAUAAUUUUUACUAUCUUUUAAGAUGUUUAGUUAAUUAAAGAGUAUUAAUCAAAACAAUUUGAAAAGGAGGGUACAGGGCCUAAUUUCCUUUAAAAAUAAUGUGAUAUUGAGUCCAUUACCAUCUAUUAGGACUAAACAUCACUUAUGCUAAAUAGCACUACUGACAAAAACAAUCAUUACCCGAGAAUGGGGUCAGAUCGGGUCACGUGGGGGCUGGGUUGGGAAAGAGAAGACAAGUGGGAUAAAAAUUGAAGGUUUGAUCUUUUUUCAUACAUUACAUGAAAUAAUAUUUAUUAAGAACAUAUGUCAAUUACUUGGAUUUAACAUUGCGUUAUAACUAAAUUACUUUAUUAAGAAUAAUGAGUUUGUAUCCAUACAUAUUGCAAAGCUCGAGCUAAAUAGUAAUGGUUGAAAUAGGGACAAUACAAUUACGUCUCAUUGCACCGUGUACAGUUGAUGUUCAGUUUAGUCAUUCAUUAGUACGAUGUCAACUACCAGCUCAAAAGAAAGGCAAAGUAUUUAUUCCACAAAUAUUAUUGGAGGCGUGACAAUUUUCCUUUUGAUAUUACUUCUAUUAUUUGAGAUCCGAGAUUAUGCGCAUGAUUAAACAACCAAAAAAUUAAAAAUUGUCACAAGAUAGUUUCUAGUAUAGAGUUUUAAAAUGAAGUCAUGUAGCAUUAACAUGCUUCCAACGUUUAUCAAUAAGAACUAAAAGUCUGCGACAAUGACGCAAGUUCUAAGUAACAUCAAAUGACACAUUAAUUUGACAACAACAAUUAUUACAUGAACUCACAAAUACGACAAAUUAUCCAUCAAUUCGAUUGUUGCAUGUCGCACCUUUUCAAUACCUAAGUGUUCAUCUUGGAGAUCAAACACUUAAUUCUCGUGACAUCAAACCUAUUGUACAAGAAUUGAUAUCGCACUUACUCGUCAAACCAAAGCGUUAGAGAACAUCUAAACACAAUAUAAAUUAUUGAUAGUACACAUUGUAUAGAAAAAUUAAACUAUUUUAUUUCUAUGUUUCAUACCAAAUAAUUUAGAUAAGAGCAGAUUUUCAAUGUAAAUAGACAAAGAAUAACCAGUCCAUAUUUUCAUAAUCGCAAGAAUUUACAUAUCUAACUCUCGGUAGGAGAGAGAAAAUAAGAUCAUAAUAUAAGCACACAGGCACAAUGUGCAUAUAUACACAAAAGUGAUAUUAUCUGGACCGUAGAUGUCAAUUUUAAACCACGAUAAUGCCCAAAUCUUUGACUCUGACUACUUUCAUUACAAAUUUUGAUUUGGAGAAGAAUCCCAUAAACAUAUUCAUACAGAUUCAUGCGUAUAUGUGUGUCUUUUUAGUGAGGUGAGGUAAAUAAAUUCAAAAUUUAUGCACAUAAAUAUAGGAGACAAAUGAAGGUCAUCACCGACAAUGAGGAAGCUCCAAAAAUUCUCUAGAAAAUUGGUGAUGAUUCCUUGCUAAUCAAAUUCCUUAAUCCUUAAGAAUGCCUAGAAGAUGCUAGAUGAAUCCAAUUAUUAUCACCACCAUCAUUUAUGGAUGUAUCUAGAAUUAGGAUUAACUUCAUCACCGUCAUACUAGAACCAUCCAUUAACACCUAUAAAUACAAGGAAGCUGUGUGCAUUAUGGAUGUAUGAGUGAUGAGAGAAAGUGUGCAACGACAAGUGAGAGUUAUUAAUACUCCAUUGAGCAUUAUUAGUGGUUUGAGUAUUAAAUUGUGUAAGUAAUUUUACAUCAAUAAAAUAAUUUUCUUUUGAGGUUUAAAUUCAACAAGAAAAACCAUAUAUAAGGAUUGAGCUCCACCUCAAUCAAAACUCACAUGGAUUUUGCCCUGUAUAGAGUGAAUUUAUUAUGUAUUCUUAGAAUCCAAUUCUCUAUUACAAAUUUAUACAUGGGUUGUAUACAAUUCAGGCGUAUUGCAUUUCGCCUCAGCACAGUGGUUUUUCCAUUUACUUGGUAUGUUUCUUUUGCUGCUUGUUUAGCUUGUAGAUAUUAAACUUUUUUCCUGAAUUUUCUGCUUACUCCUCAUGGGAUAGGCACCAGUCUUAGGGAAAGUGGCAGGGGCUUCGAUUGGGGGAACCUGGACACAACUCCUGCCAUAGUUUCUAAUUUGGACUUGUUGAAAAUCUUCCUUUGGAGGAUUCUUUAUUGAAAAAUUUAAUCUGAGAUUUACUCAUUCAGUCCAAAAGCAUUGUAUAUACCAGCUCUGUAAAGUAAAGGAUGUCUUUAGAUUGUUUUCUUCUUUAUUGCUUCUAUUACUUGAGGAAGCCGCUUUCUGUGAUUUUUUUUUAAUUUUCUUUUUGCUUAUGCUUUCUUCUAAAAUCGAAUCUUUGAUUCCCCAGAAUUAAAUGUUCUGGUAAAGAAUUCAAGGCUAGGGAGAAAGCAUAUGUAUUACUGAGAAAAUUUAGAUCAUUUUUUAUUUCUUGGAACAACUAUUAUUUUGCAUAAAAAUAUCGGUUCUUAUAAAUUGUUGUAUGAUAUUUAGAAUUCCUUGACUCCAAUUAAUAUUUUCUAUUUAUUGUUUGUUGAACGCAUUAAAUUGGAUUCAUUUAGAUCAAGGAGCAUAUUUGUUUUUCUCGGCAAAAUCAAUGCGGAAAAAUUGUGCUCUUGAAGCAUAGAGUUUUUGAUAGAAGCUUCACGUACAAGGUAGGGGGUUCACAAAACCCCUACCAAAUACUCACAACACAGGGGAGUGGGUGAGGUUUUUGGGUAGUUUUUCACAUGGGGGGGGGGUCACUGGUGUGAGUAUCGAUAAGGGUUCCCCCAACCUUGGUAAAAUAGCAAAAUUCAAGGUUUUUUGUUUGGUCUAUGUCAGAUAUAAGAUAAUUUGUCUGUCAACCACGUGUAUGUGCAGGGCUAGCCCUAGGACCAAACCACCUAGGCAAGGGCCUCAAAAUUUUGACUUGGGCCCAGGACCUCAAAAUACUAACUCCAAAAAAAGAACGCUUAAUUUAUAGCAAUAUUUUUACAAUUGACACAAACCAUGUGAAGAAGAAAAAUUGAAGCGGUUUCUUGAAUCCAAUCUUCUCUCCAAUUCAAUUCUAUUCCUUUGAACUUUGAUUUGAGCCCACUUCCUUCAUUGUGAAUUUAGAAAAGGGUUGCAGCUUGCUCCAAUAUCCAUCUUCAGAUUUCUUGAUUUUCCUAGAGCCAUCAAAAGUCACCGAAAACAAAGAGUAUGUCUGUACGUGUUCGGUGUUCCAAACAGCCUUAACCACUAUUUUUUUGUAAGCAAUGUUUUCAUUUUUCUAUAAUGUUGUUGUUGUGAGGUUUCUGGGUUUGUCGAUCUAACAUGGUAAUUUAGAAAUUGAAAUUUUGAAUGGGCACACCACACAUCGAAUAAUUGAUACCCUAUUCGAUGUCACAGUAGCUUUUGCCAUAAUUCACAUUUGACUUGAAUUGUUGUUCUUAUCUUUGUUAAAUUGGAUAGAAAGGUAUAAGAAAAUUUGGGAGUUGCCCAUUUGGAUUUAGUGAAGAUGGCUUCUUGCCUCCUUCACUACUUAACUGUUUGUUUAGAAGGUUUCCUUGGUAUAUAGGCCAGCUACAUGAUUAUUGGAUACGCUGAUUUUGGUUAUUUUAGAAAAAAUUCCCAUUGAAUUCCUUUUACUAGACCCAAUCAAGGCAUAAUGGAUUCCCAAACAAAAUUCACAUUCUGCUUUCAAUUUGAUGACUUGGGAAGUUUUUUUUUUUUUGUGCUGAUUGAAUCAGUGAAGUCUUUGACUAGAAGGAUUGAUGAUGGGGAAUAUAUUGUAAUCUAAGUUGAAGCUAGGAUUCAAAUUUCUUGUUUGUUCUUGUGUAUAACAUUUUUCGGACCUGACUAAUUACCAGAAACAAGGUUAACCAUUGACAGGAAUGAUUACUUGUAGGACUCAAAGUAUAGGGCCUCAACAUAAGUUGUCGCUUAGGGCCUCCAUAUUCUCAAGGCCGGCCCUAUGUAUGUGCUUACUUGGGUUUUGCUUGAUAUGCAUCCUCAUGAUUGUUUGCUUCAACUGUAAGAUAUCCUAGUGCCCUUCAAUGGUCCACAAGAAUUUUACAAUGUAUUUCGAUGGUAAGGAUAAUUGUAAAUUUGUUGAUUUAGUCCUUUUGCUCAGGCUUAAGGAGUAUUCAGCCUUGGACUUCCAAUAAUUGGUGACCUCAGGAGCCAAAAAUAGUUCCUCUUUUUUUACUUGAUCAAAACAUAGAUUUUCUUGAAUGACAUCUUGUUUUCUUAUUUUUUUCUUUUUAUUAUAAAAUACUCAGGAGAGCAUUACAUUUUGAAGAAUACUUUAUGAAUAUUAGUCUGAUUAUAUUUUCCUUUUAACAGCGAUACACAAACUUUGCUAAUUUAUUGAUUUUUCUUUUCCAGCUCACUUGUUACUUUCCAAUUUAAGUUUUUGAAUAAUGAGUUUCCAAUAUUUGAUUUCAAUCAUGUUUUGAUAACGCAUGGGUAAUUGAACUUUUUCUACAUUCUUUGAUAUCUAAACAUUGUAAUUCUACCAGUGUUUAUUGUAGCAUCAACGUUGUCUAUUAAUUCACUUCUUAGUACUAAUUCUCACAAGUAUUCACAAUUAAUCAACUUUGCAUGCUAACAUUUACAGAAAUUUAAUAAAUUGCCAUUUUGAAAAAACAAUGGCUCUUAGAGAUAGCACCAAUGAGGGCAUUAUUGCACAUGACAGUUCGACUUGUAUGGGCGUGAAGCAUGGAGUGUUGUCAAAAACUGUUGUGGGUGAACUGCUUGAGUGCCCCGUUUGUAUGAACAUAACGUAUCCUCCAAUUCACCCGGUAGGAUCUCUUUUAAGUGAUAAUUUUCAUUUCUUGGGUACUUCUUGUUGGAAUGCGAAAGUGGAAUUAUCCAUAAAAUAAAAAAAAUUCUUUAAUUAAAUAAAUAAGAUCAUCUAGAUGUUCACGUGUGUGUUAUAUAAAAAACAAAGGAUUCAAAUUUUUACCUAAAUUCGAUGGUCAAUUCUUAAAUAAAUUAUGAAUCACGAACUUCCACCUUUUUGGAUCACGAACUUCUUGCUUUUAAUUUCAAGAACUUGAUGAUUCAAACCUCCAAAUAUUCUAUGGUAUUCUCCAAAGUCAAAACUACACCAAUGAAUGAGCACCUUCUUUUAAUUAAAUCAAGAAACUAAUUCUUAAAACUGAACAAUUGAAAAAAUCAAGAAAAAUAAUCUUCUCUCUCUCGAAAUUUGAACACAUUGGAAUUAUGUAUUAUUAUUGUUGUACAAUUCCUUAGGAUGUCUAAGUUCCAUCUAAUUUCUAUCUCUAUCCUUGUAUAAUAAUAAUUCCACAUUCAAGUAGGAGUUCUAAUUAAAAUCCAAGUAGGAUAUUCAAUUAAAGUCUAAAUCCAAUUAGUUUAUAUAUAAUUAUAUAUGCACUCAUGGAACUUCAAUUACAAUUAUAAUUAACUUUACAACUUUCGUAGUAAUUACAACUAAAUACAAAACUUUAUUAUAAUUACAAUUAAGCCCAAAAUUAUUAUAAUUACCAUAAUUAAAUUUCAAUACUUUAUGGUGCUACCAUAGGGACCUGAUCAGACAUAUAUUAUCUAAGUUUCAAUAAUUAGAUCAUGUCUAAUCGACUCUAGACCAUCCAAUCUAAUUAUUAGUCUUUGUUUUUUUCACUAAAAGCAAAAGACUAAACUCUUGAAAUAUAUAAUAUCACAUAAGUCAAUAAAUCUGUAAUACUUUCUUUUGACUUGCUAUAUAUGUAUUUUAUCCCUGUUUGAGAUUCGAUAAUUAGGUACGAGUGUAAAUGACUGUCUUGCCCUUCUAAUUAUUUUCACUAAUUUAAGUUUCAUUUUCUUCAACGGUUUUGUGAACUAAACACAGUUGUCGAAUUUUAGUCGUCGUCCAACACUGAACUCAGAUCUUAACUGUUCAAUAGAAAAUACUAAGUAAUCACUCUACCUAUUUUCUAGGGUGACGGUUCUCGACACGAAUUCAUGUUUCCUAUUUCGCUCAUUCUCAAGUUCCCAACUUAUUGAGAUUGUUGACAUCCGAACUCCAAUCUAAUAAAAACAGGUCGCUAACCCCACCUAAGUUAAAUAUGAGUUCGGUCCUUACUCCCAAGUUGGACAAUCCUGCUGUUAUCUCAGAAAAAAUCAUGAUUACCCCCUAUCACAUCACCCUAUCAAUCAAAUACAUUUGCCACAGAUGACAUCAUCACUGUCCUUACUCCCAAGUUGGGUACGAGCUGCAGCCAUACACCCGAAACGAAAUUGUGGCCUUCAUUAGACAAAACAGUGAUGUCUUCACCUGGAAUCAUGGGGACAUGAGAGGAAUAAAUCCCAACAUCGAUGCCCACAAAUUACAGGUGGAUCCUUUAGUUCGGCCAAAGCAACAAAAACGACGACCUCUGAACCCUAAAAGAUAUGAAGCACUCAAUAAGGAGGUGCAAAAACUAUUGCAUAACGGUUUCCUCCGUGAGGCCAAAUACCCAAAGCGGGUCACAAAUUCGGUCCUUGUGAAAAAACACAACGGAGAUUGGAGGGUAUGCAUAGACUUUACCAACCUCAACAAAGCAUUCCCAAAAGAAAGUUUUCCUUUACCAAGAAUAGAUCAAAUGGUGGACGCCACUACCGGACACGAACUACUAAGCUUCAUAGACGUGUACUCCAGAUAUAACCAGAUAUCGAUGUACGGCCCAAAUCAAGAACAUACCUCGUUUAUAACUGACCGAGGUCUUUACUGCUACAGAGUAAUGUCAUUUGGUCUCAAAAAUGCUGGUGCGACCUACCAACGACUAGUGAAUUCCAUAUUUUCCCAACAAAUCGAAAAAAUAAUGGAAGUGUAUGUUGACGAUAUGCUGGUCAAAAGCAUCAAGGCCAAGGAUCACUGUUAGCACCUGACCAAGAUGUUUGAUAUACUGAGGAAGUAUGGAAUGAAGUUGAACUCAAGAAAUGUGCUUUUGGGGUUAGCUCUGGAAGAUUCCUGGGUUACAUUGUGAACAACCGAGGAAUCGAGGCAAAUCCUGAAAAAAUACAAGCUGUCAUCCAAAUGAGGCUUUCAACUAAACCUAGAGAAGUACAAAGUUUAACAGGAAGGAUUGCCGCCCUCAGCCGGUUUGUCUCCAAGCCUAUUGACCGUUGCAAACCCUUCUUUGACACUUUACGACGAGGAAAGAAGUUCGAAUGGACCAAAGAAUACCAGGACGCCUAUAACAAGCUAAAGAGACAACUAGCUCAGCCUCCGUUGCUUUCAAAACCUAAGGUCGGCGAGGUCCUGAAGAUUUAUUUAUCUGUUUCAGAACACGCCAUUAGUGUGGUUCUAACCCAAGAAGAGAACGGUGUUCAACACCUAGUCUACUAUGUAAACAAGGCGCUUCACGAAGCCGAACUCAGAUAUUAACCUGUAGAGAAACUGUCAUUCACCCUCCUGAUGGCCGCGCGAAAACUAAGAUCAUAGUUAGAAUCCACGCCGGCCAGUCCGACACAAAGCUCAACCUUUUCUCUAGUCACUACCUUUGUCAUCAUAUCAGCUGGAUUCUUCUCUGUAUGAAUCUUCUCCAACAAUAUCAAUUGUUCUGCCACUACCCGUUGUAGCCAGUGAUAUUUGAUAUCAAUGUGCUUCGUCCAAGAGUGAUAAGUAGCAUUUUUGCUCAAGUUUAAUGUACUAUGACUAUCACAAUUAACUACAUACACAUCUUGCUUCAAACCCAAAUCUUGGAGAAAUCGUUUCAUCCAAAGCAUUUCUUUUGUUGCUUCAGUUGCUGCAAUAUACUCAGCCUCAGUUGUAGAUAAGGCAACACACUUUCAUAAAUUGGACUGCUAUGAGAUAGCCCCCCUGCAAAAGUAACCAAAUAUCCUGAAGUAGAUUUUCUACCAUCAAGAUCACCAGCUAUGUCUGCAUCUGUAAAGCCCUCCAAAAUUGGUUUCGAACCUCCAAAAGUCAAGCACAUUUUAGAAGUACCUCUCAAAUAUCUAAAGAUCUAUUUUACUGCAUCCCAAUGAUCUUUACUGGGAUUAAUAAGAAACCUACUGAUUACUCCAACUACAUGAGCAAUAUCUGGCCGUGUACAAACCAUAGCAUACAUCAAACUCCCAACCGUAGAGGAGUAAGGAAUUUUUACCAUUCUUUCUUUAUCUUCCACCUUAGAAUGACAAGUCACUUUACUCAGUUUGAAGUGACUACCAAGUGGUGUCCCAACAAGUUUAGCAUUAUUCAUGUUAAACUUUCCAAAACUCUCUCUACAUAUUUCUCCUGUGAUGACCAUAACUUUCUGGCUUUCUUAUCAUAACAAAUAUACAUUCCCAAAAUUUACCUUGUUGGUCCAAGAUCCUUCAUGUCAAACGACUUGAAUAGAUCUACUUUCAAACUGCGAAUUAACUGAACAUCCUGUCCCACUAUCAACAUAUCAUUUAUAUAUAACAAAAAGAUGAUGAAGUUACCACCAUGAAAUUCUCUGACAUAAACACAGUGAUAUGCAUUUGUCUUGGUAUAACCAUGACUCAUCAUAAAUGAAUUAAACUUCUUAUACCACUGUCUUUGAGCCUGUUUCAAUCCAUACAAACUCUUUUUCAACUUGCAAACCAUAUGUUCUUUUCCUCUUACUUCAAAUCCCUCUAGCUGAACUAUGUAGAUUUCUUCCUCCAAAUCACUAUGGAGAAAGGCGGUCUUGACAUCUAACUACUCAAGCUCAAGAUCCAAACUAGCUAUUAAACCCAAAACUACUCGAAUAGAAGUCAUUUUGACAAUAGGAGAGAAUAUCUCAUCAAAGUCAAUCCUUUUCUUCUAACUGAAGCCUUUUACCACCAAUAUACUUCACUAGCUUUUCACCAUCUUUCUUCAACUUCAACACUCAUUAAUUUUUCAAUGCCUUUUUACCUUUAGGAAGCUCUACUAGCUCAUAAAUGUUAUUCUUCUGCAAAGAAUUCAUCUCUUCUUGCAUAGCCUUCACCCAACUUUGUUUGUCCUUAUGAGAUUCUACCUCCUGAAAAUAUUCUGGCUCCCCCUCAUCAGUUACCAACACAUAAUCUGAUACUGGAUACCUAGUUGAUGGACGAUGCUCCCUGGUAGAUCUUCUAAUCUGAGAGUCUGAUGUAGUAGGCUGCUCCUCCUACUCAACAUCCUCUAAAUCAUCCUCAUCAACCCUUGCUGGCUCAUCAGCAUGAUUGUCAACGUGUGUCUCUACCCCUUGAGUGACACUAUCCGAAGGCAAGGAGACAGGUGUAAGGUCAGUGACACCUUCAAUAACACGUCUUUGAUUCCCAGAUUUUUCAACAUCUGUCAACUUCUGAUUUUAAUGAAAAAUCACAUCUCUACUUUUGAAUAUUUUCUUUUUUUCUGGAUCCCAUAAUCUAUAGCCAAAUUCUGCAUCUCCAUAGCCAACAAAAAUGCAAGGACUAGCUUUAUCAUCUAGCUUCGACCGUUGUUCCUUAGCCACAUGUGCAAAUGCUUUGUACCCAAAAACCUUCAAGUGAGAAUAAGAAACAUCUUUUCCUGUCCACAAUUUUUCUGGAAUUUAAAAAUCCAACAGAGUUGAUGGAGACCAAUUGAUUAGGUAGCACACUGUUCGAACUACUUCACCCCAGAAUGACUUAAGUAACCCAACCAUCCUUAACAUACUUCCGACCUUUUCUACAAUUGUACAGUUCAUUCUCUCUGCCACACCGUUGUUCCGUGGAGUACCAGGAACUGCCUUUUCAUGUCUAAUAUCAUGUUCUGAGCAGUAAUCUUUAAAUACUUUAGAUGUAUAUACCCCUCCGUUGUCAGUUCGGAGACACUUCAAAAGAUUUCCACUUUUCUGUUCCACCAUGGCAUGGAAUUUCUUAAAGUACUAAAAAACAUGGUCUUUUAAUCUCAAAAAGAAUACCCACAACUUUCGUGAACUAUCAUCAAUAAAAGUAAGAAAAUACUUAUUACGACCUAAGGACUCCACCUCAAUGAGAUCACAAACGUCAGAAUAAAUCAAAUCCAAAACAUUAGAUUUUCUACUAGAGGAUUUCUAAAAGGAUACUCUAUGUUGUUUAUCAAAUAAACAAUAAUCACAAGAAUUUAAUGAUGUACUUUUGGUAAAAGGAAUGAGAGACUUCUUUGCCAAAAUAUGUAAUCCUUUCUCGCUCAUGUGAGCUAACUGCUUAUGCUACAAGUCUAGUGAAGAAUCACUUUCAGUUGCAUUUACCGCUUCACUACACACCUUUACUUUGUAUCUUGUAAAGUGUGUAACAAACCUUUCCUCUAACAAAUAUCAUUGACCCUUUUGUUAGUUUCCAUCUUCCAUUGCCAAAAUAACUGUCAUACCGUGCUUCAUCAAAUGCAUGUGUAGAUAGCAAAUUCAAGCGCAUGUCAGGAACAUGUCGCACAUUCUUCAAUGUCAAGCUACUUCCAAUAUCUGUUUGAAGACAGAUGUCACCAAUUCCCGCAAUACUAGCAAAACUGUUAUUACCCAUCUUCACUUUGCCAAAGUUACCUGAUUUGUAUAAAGUGAAGAACUCCCGUUUUGGAGUAACAUGGUAAGAAACCACUGAGUCAAUAACCCAUUCAACAAAUGAAUCUGCAACAUGACAACACUGCUCAUCUUUAGCGAAAAAUACUGCUGCCACUGCUUCUUCUUCUUCUUUUGAAGCGCUAGCUGCUGUAUUCUGAUCAGUCUUCUUCUGAUUUUUCUCCUCUUUCAAUUUAAUUUUCCAAGCCAUGUAAUGUUUCUUUAUAUAACCCUCUUUGUCACAAUAAAAGCAUUUGACCUUUCCUCUUGUCUUCGACUGACUUCUGAAAUUACCACGUUCCUUAGGAUCUCUGUUUUUACUCCUACCUCUGUUCUCUGUAAUAAGAGCCUGUGCAUCAUUUCUACCCAAGUCUUUUCUUCUUAUUUCUUUAUUAAACAAACUAUCUUUAACUAGAGUAAGUUCCAACACACCGUUCGGAGCGGAGUUACUAAGUGAUACCACAAAAGUCUUCCAACUAUCAGGCAAUGAACUCAGAAGUAAUACUGCUUGCAUCUCAUCAUCUAGUAGUAGUUUCAUUGUGGUCAACUGAUUUAUCAAGUCUUGGAAUUCACUCAAAUGCUCAGCAACUGAUUUUCCCUCCCUUAGCUUCAGAUUCACAAGCUUUCUAAUACUAAAAGCUUUAUUUGAGCAGUCUGUCUCACAUAGAGACUCUCUAAUUUUUUUCAAAGACUAUGUGCAUCUAUCUCUUGAGAUAUAUGAUGGAAAACAUUAAUGUCAAUCCACUGUCUAAUAUAUCCAGUGGCUUUCCUGUUCAUCUUCUUCCAGUCACCGUUACUCACAUUGCUUGGCUUAGCACUAUCAUCUUCAAUAGGUUCAUGUGAAUCCUUAUAAUACAAGAUAUCCUCCAUCAUAGGCUUCCAAAUAGAAUAAUUUGAAGCCGAAAAUUUAAUCCUUGUGCCCAGAGUAUUUUCCAUUUAUUUCGCAAUAAAAUCACACCCACACAGCUUGAGCUUUGAUACCACUUAGUUGGGCAAUUUCAAUUAUUGCAAGAAUAAUUUUUUCAAUCCAAGCAAUUAACUAGAACGAUUAACUAUGCAAAUAAAUAAUCCAAGCAAAAAUAAAAAAAUGCAACACCAAAUUUUUAUGGGGAAAAAAACCCUCCAUUGUAGAGGGGGAAAAAUCACGGAGCAACUCCGGCCAAAAUCCACUAUAAUAAAAUAUAUAUUACAAUUAUUCAAGUUUAGAUAAACUUGAAUUCUCCACAAAUUGCAAUACCGCAACAAUUAGUCUCUAAGAUCACAAAUAAUCUCACCACAAAUAAACAAUUUGAUCAACCUUGUGCGUACCUACUUUGAAUACUACACCUCUAGAGUACCCAAAUUGCAACUUAGAGAAAUUUCCAAUUUACAUUUUGCAGGGAAGAAAAUCCCUGUGAACCCACACCCAAAACAAUAUUGAAAGAAAAUAAACAUUUUCUUCCUUUUUCUUCUUCCACACGUGCACAGCCCUUUCUUCAUUUUUUCAGCCGGUUUCCCUCCUCGCAGCAGCAGCAACCUAGCAGUUUAUGUUUUUUGCCUCACACACAAAGCUGCCAACUUUGACCUCUACAAUUUGUCUCACAAUUAUAGCCACAGUUUAGAGAAAGAUAUCUAUAUUUUUAUAUAGCCACUAUUUUUGACUUCCACACCUGUAGCCACCAAUUUAUAUAUAUAAGACCACUAAUGACCUAACUAAAAGAUAAUUGCUUGGGCCAAUUAAUAUCUCCUCUUGGGCUUAAAUUGAAACACGUGGGCUGAACCCACUCAACAGAUGCGUCCUCAAGGUGAAUAGUUCGAUGUCGAGGAGAAUGGUUGUAUAGAUUCAAAUUGCUCAUUUAACUAACAACGUCAUUCAAAGAUUGAGUUAAAAAUAAUAAUCAAAGUUCUUUAUUCUUUCCCAAAAACCAAAAACUUAGUAACUUAGUAUAUAUUACCUUCUACCAUAGCUUGGGCUCCUGCGAUAUCUAAGGAGAGUAAGACUCCUACGCCUUUGAAAACCCGUAUGGUUCAUGCAUUAACUGGCAAAACAGUCAUGCUCAGCAUACUGGGAGGAUUUUAAAGCAAAACCAAAACGGCCAUGCCCCCUAACACCACCACCACCUUUGCCACCACUUCCAUCCCUAGAAUUGUGAGAAAGCUCUACUCUCCAUCCAUUUGUACUUGUUCCAAUUAAUAAGGAUAUGAUUCUAGCAUGUUACAUACGAAAUUUAACAUCCCAUUAAUGUUGAUUGAAGAAAAUGCAAUAUGAUAAAAUAACAGAUGAAAAAAUUAGCACUCGAGGAGAAUUAACAUUUCAAUAUUGAAUGAACAUAUGAGGUGGUAUAUAAUUUUGAUGUAUUUAAUAAUUCUUUCUCUCUAACAUUCACCAGCCACUUCAUUGGAAAUACUCUCAUGUACUUUGGAGAAAAGCAGAAUGCAAAAGAUGGUUUUUAGAUUAGUACCUUGAUUUAUCGUGAGUAGCUUUUGCUUCUGGUACCAGAUGUAUUUCUAACGAAGUAGAAUUAGGAAGUAAAUAAUAGGCAUCUCCAUGCUUGCCUAGAGUAAGCUUUGCCACCACUUCCACCCCUAGAAUUGUGUGAAAGCUCUACUCUCCAGCCAUUUGUACUUGUUCCAAUUAAUAAGGAUAUGAUAUCCGGCAUGUUACAUAGGAAAUUUAUCCCAUUAAUUUUUAUUGAAAAAGUGCAACAUGAUAAAAUAACAGGUGAAAAAAUUAGCAUUUAAAUAGAAUUAACAUUUCAAUAUUGAAUGAACAUACGAGGUGGUAUAUAAUUUUGGCUUCCAUCCCAAAUGGAUCGGGCACAACUUUAGUAGCAGACAUAGAAGAAGAAGCAAAUCUUUAUGCCGAUUUCAGUGGAAAACGAGGUUAAGUUGAAGACGCACCUGUGCAAGGGCAGGAGUAGCCAUUACUUGUUCAAAUCGCCAUUCAUAUUGUUUCAACAACUGAGUAAUCGAAAAAUCCACUCCAAGCAUGCAAAAAAAUUUCGUGACAUAAAGUAAUGACUCAAAGAUAUUGUGGGUUCACUGUCACCUUAUUUCUUAUCUGAAAGAAUGUCAACAUGUAUAGUCAUGUAUGAGUAAAUGGCCCAAAAUUUAUUCAAAUUUGAAAUGUAGAAAAUAGAGGAGUUUCUUUUGAAACAAUAAUUCGAAUGCAUAAAGAUUAAUUACUGUUGGAGGAAAUAAAUAAAUUUAAUAGAUAAUUACCUUGUGCAUCAUCUCAAGCUUUUCCCUGUACUUAGUGUGGUAAAGAUCUUCAUUCAUUGACAAGGAUGUCUCAAAAUCAGCAUCAGUCUCAAAC
rnacentral:lncRNA from 1 species